ACCACGGCACCUGAGCUUGCCAUCUUUUCCUGCUCUAUCUCACUCAUUUGUCCCGUAGCUACUAGCUAAGCCACCAUAUCAUCCAUGGCUUCUGGUGCCUCCACCACGCUGAAGAUGGCCUCUAUCGCCGCUUGCAUCCUGCUGGUCCUGCUGUCCAAUGGCCACCCUACCGCGGCGGCCGUUGAUUGUAUUGCGGCUUGCAAAGAACCGUGCCAGGGUUUUUCUAACGGGCUCUGCGCGGGUGGAGCCACCAGCGGUUGUACGACUACGGCAGCAGCUACAGCAUGCCGCAAUUUGGCGUUCUCGCAGUGUGCGAACACCUGCUUCACAGUUUGCACUGCUGUGAGCAUCGCGCCUUGCACUUGAAGAUGCAUUCGUGUUCCUACUUCCACAUUAUUGUUACUGCAGAAUAAUAUGGGUCAGUGCACACAAGCAUACAUGAUGAGCCACUGUCGUUUUUCCAUUUUGUCAUUUAUUUAUUGAAGGCAAUGUACGUUUUUCCAUUUGAUCAUUUACUUAUUGAAGGCAAUGUACGUGUCUAUCUCCUGUGUGGUUGAGCAUGUCAUCUUGGAAUUCUGUCCAAAGUUUUACAUACCACCUUGUAUUGUUGUGUGUGGGUAUCAAUAUAAUUUAUGAACUAUCUUCCUUUACCAUAGACAUAUCUAUGUUUAUUUGCAAGCGUUAGCUAAAUUUUUCCUUGAUUGUGUAUUAACCCAUACUGAACAGAUCAACUUUCCACUGCAAGAAACUAUUUAAUCUGUGACGAAACAAAAUUGUCACGUAUCACUAAAAAAUCGUCAUAAAGCAAUGCCUGUGAUGAUUUCAGAUAACGUCAUGUAUUGAGCAUCACAGAUUAAAUCGAUGACAUGGAGAGGCUUCACCAUAGUAUUUUGUAUCGACGUUAGACCUAUCGUUUAUUUCCGCUGCUUUUGAACUCUGAACACUACUUUUAUGCAUGUGAACUAUCGGCUUGUAAUAACUUAAUGUGGGACCUGUAAUAAUUUAUCUGGAUUGUUGUAAUCUUUGGACUCGUCUUCGUGCGAGUAUACUUUGUUUCGAUCCGAAACACGUGGUUGCAUCGGGUGAAACCCGACAGACUACCAGUUUAAUUCGAUUAAAGUGUCUAUUCACAUUUAAGGCAAUGUUGAAUAUACUUUAGCCGGGUUAACUUGGAUGGUUCUACCACACUGGCGCAUCCCUGAGGAUUCCUAUCUGCUUGCUCGAUGUCAUCUGUAUCUGGCCCUGUGAUAAGGGUGAAGAGUUCAUUGUCUAGAGACAGGCUUCCAGAACUUUGGGUGAUGACUUAUGUAGAGUCAUGAAGCGUGAUUCGUUGUCCUGGGCGAGGGCAGGUAGCCUCAUGCCAGGCCAGUAGAUGAAUCUGCCUUGAGGGGUUGAGGUGAUCACCAGGCCCUGCUGCGAACCUGUUAGUGGAGUCUCCUCGUCGGAAUCCAAGUAGUGAUCGUAGUUGUGGUCCUUAAUCGGACAUGAGUUAGAUUGCAACCCGGAUAAGGCUGCUUGAUAGGUGGAAGCUGCGUUACGGAGUCCGAAUGGGAGUUUGCUCGGAAUUUGACUUGAUUCGGACGAUGCAGAACCCGAUGGGAUAACCUACUGGGGUAUUACGUCAAUAGAUCAACCAAAAGAAUGCGCAAUAAUAUCUACCACCAAAGGCAACCCAAAAGCAUUAUCUACCUUCAGUGCCAGAUCAGUCAUCAACAAAGAUCUAUGGAGACCUUGUUUUCUCUUGCUUUGGAUUUGGAGAUAGCAUAGAACAAAAGCCUUGAACCUAAAUAAACAAAGAAAAAAAGUACUGCAGUGCUAAAAAUAAGAAAUACCUCGUAGAAAAAUACCAGUAAUGGGUUUAUGGGUUCCCACUCAUCCUUGGGUAGCCACUUCUCUAGAGAGAUUCUUGUGUGUUCCGGUGUUGUAGUUUUCUGCGCAUGAUACAUAGCAACAUAAGGGCUAUUCCCCAACCUCAUAAUCGAUAGUAAUGUACAUCUUCUGGAAAGGACCUCUUUCUGUUGCAAGUGUGACUGCCACGCUCAUGCCAUUAAAGAAGUUAGCAGUUCGGUUAGGCAAUUAGUUGCCCACAGGAGGAAAGUAAAGCAACCGUGGAGAGUGAAGAGGCGUCUUUCUAGCUCCAGCACCAAGCACACCACACCAGUCAUCAGCUAAUCUGAUGACAUGGCAGGAAAUUUAAGAGGGGAGAGAAGGAAUUAGUUUCAUCUAGAUGAAAUUCUUCUCGCACAAAACCAACUCUGAAUGUGUCAUGAAAUUAAAUGUACCCCAUGCCGCUUUUUAUGCGCUCUUAUUAAUGUUGCUUUGUCUAAGUUCAAUACACUUAUCAAGACUAUCGCAUUUGGUGACUGGCAGUCCACCUAAGGGUACCAAGAUGGUUGAUUUGUAAACAGAGAGGAUCACAAGACCAUGAACUACUUGAUGGUAAUGCAAGGCACAAGACAUAGAGAUUUAUACAUGUUCGAGCCGUUAGUGUAGCGUAAUACCCUACGUCCUGUUUUGGGGGAUUGUAUUGCGCUCUGCACUUGGGUGUUGGUUGUUAAGUUGAGGGAUUGGCCGUCCUCCUAGGGGUACCCCUACGUACCCUUAUAUACUCCCCUAAUAACUCUUCUUAAUAGGAUAGAUUACCAAGUAGAAUUAAUUAUGCAUGCACGCUUGCAGUAAUUGUCGCACCUAUUAGCCUUCCUUAUUUAGCGAGACUUCCUCGGGCAUCGAUGGUGUGCCGUUUCUAUAGUGAACGGUAAUGAAUGUGGACACUUUUAUGAGUGCUGACAUGAAAGGUUCAAUUUGUAUGAAUGAUCUUCUAUAGGUACACUAACCGCGCUUAGGUUACGUUAACAAAAGGUUAGAGAAUUGACUAGUUAUUAUAGGAAGAGCCGUAAACUGUUGCCUCGCCACCAGCACUAACCCCGUAAGUCCAAGUAAUUGGCAGUUUUUUCAUUUGUGAGGACGCAUAGGUCAUGCAUGCAUCAUGUUAAAAACUUGCAAAUUGGAAAUUGGAACAACUUUCCUAUAGAUGAUUGGGAGGACUAAUGUCACUCUCAAAAAAAAUUUUGCCAAAUCACCUAAGGAUUUUCUAGUUGUCUCGAACUGCAGCUAACUACUGUCAGAAUUUUUUUUCUCCGAGCUCUUAAAUGGUCUUGGUUCCAGAAUUUAGUAAAUGAUAUGCUGUAAAAAUUUCAUAAAUUUUGGUCAAGUGAAACUCGAGUUAUGCUUCAAUAAAUUCCCGGGUUGACUCGUACCCAAAGGAGGAAGUUGCAGAGGUUAAGGCUGCAGGAGAAGAGGGAACAGAAGCUGGAGAAGCGAAGGAAUGAGGCAUUCAACACGAAUAGACCCAUAGUCCCUCAGAAGAAGGAGUGGAGAGUUAAGGCCGAUACUCCCAACUCCACCAGUCAGACCUGCAGAAGGACCGGUCGGACCUAGUGCGGUCGGCACGGUCAGGGCGGUCACUGGCGCAGUCGUCGUGGUUGAUGACUCGGUCGGCGCGGUCGUCGGCGCAGUCAGACCGGUCGAGGGGUCGGCGAGGAGCGGCAGCGGGGUGACAAAGUAACUGCGAGCGCGGCGGGGCGGAGCUUGAGCGGCGGAGGCGGAUGGGAGGGGUGGAGGUGGCGGUGGAUGUGGAGGGGAGGUAGCGGAGGGGGAGGAGGAGGAGGAGGCAGAGGAGGCCGGCGGUGGGCGGAGGAGGUGGAGGAGGGUGAGGAGGAGGAGGAGGCGGAGGGAGGUCAGGGCUGGCGGGGGAAUUUUCUUUUUUUAAGAACGUUUAGCCUUAUUAUCACCUAGCGGAGGCGGAUGGAGUUCCACAACAUGGUGUAUCGGACGGGCAUUUCAUUGAAGUCCCUAGGGGCGUCCAAUGGGUGGCUGUAGUGGGUGUACAUCACGACGAGCGUCUGUAGCCAUUGCGACAGCCUAGAGCACGACAACGAGGCGGAAGACCCCGUCACGGGUGCAGAUGGCCAGCGUUUUUUUAAAAAAAAACUUACAGGUGGCCAGUGUGGUGGGCGUGAUUGGGCUUAUCACCAGUGGCGGAGGAGGCGGACGCACGAAGCGACAGGAAUGGCGCCGAGUUUGGUCGAACCAUCUGGAAACUAGAGUUGUAACGCUUGCACUGGACGGCUGAGAUUUACGAUGCUCGAUAUCUGACAGGCGAAAAAGGGAGAGACUUGGCCCAAUCAUUGCAGAGAAACUUCACCGGAGUUAGGUCUUUAAAGAAGAUUGUAAGGCCUGAUUGGUUUGGGGAUCAAAAUGUAUCAAACCAAAAUCAGGGUAAGCCUAAUAAUUUUGGCAGCUGUGUAUAUUUAGAUGCAUAUAAACAUUUAUAAACCUAAAAAAUUAAAACGACCUGCAAUUAAAAAUGGAGGGGUAAAAAAGAAGGCCCCGACAAACGCGUCAGCACAUUCCUGCCUUUCUCCCCCGAAUGAGUAAACUCCAAUCCAAAAUUUGACUGUAUUUUGUUAACGGUUAUAUAUCAUAAGUUUCAUAACAAUAACCAGCUAGGGCUAAUGAUGAUAUGAAUUUGGCCACAAUUUUUGUUCUUGGGAGGUAUCUGUGAGGUGAGAAAAUGGGCAACAUGUGUGGAAAAUGCUAAUACGCCUACUGUGUGGCAUAUUUUGCGUUGUAUCAUAUACUUUCCGGAACAGUUGUAAUUACCACAUCUUUUUUCCCCAGCGGAGUCGCCAAAAUGUGUUGGCGCCUUUUCCGACCAACACAUGAGUGCGCUAGCUCGCGUGUAGAUUGGAAUUCUCCUCGUUGAAGCUCCUGCACCUGGCCGGUCAGAUCGGUCAGGGGGUCCGAUCGGGCCGGUCCUCGUAGGGGCACCAUGAAAACCUACGUCCACCACCUCGGGAGGGACCCUUUCGGAGAUGGCGAACCUAGGGUUGCUCUGAGAUCGGCAGGCCAAUUUAAACGUUCUCAAACGCCGCCGGGACAAAAGAUGAAAGCAAGUGGGUUGGAAAAGCUAAGGUUUUGAGAUAAAAGGGUAAAAAGAUAUGUUUGACGAUUAGGUGAUGCCCCUCAAUCCAACUUACCAAUAUUGAUACAAGAUAUGCUCAACUUGUGAACUUAACUGAGGUAUAUGCUUCCUAUGUUCGUCCGUUCCAGUAAUUGUCUAAGGCAACGCGAAAUCCAGUUACUGUGGGCUAAUAACAACCUAUCUGUUGGUGUUUCUUGGUGUCUAUGGGUGUGCUUCUGAUUUGCAUGCUUUUUUUGUUUGUUGUGUGAUGAAAUAAGGCACUAUGUACAUCUUUGCUUAUUAUUUCCCACUGAUAUAUGGGUACGGACGUGUAAUCAUUAAUUGUGCUAUUCAUUCAGCUGACGACAGUCAGUUGACAUCACUUGAAAGUAUGCUUGAAUUCGUAAGGUGUCCCGUGCAAGUAGCGUGGCUACAACCGCAGCAAUAUUUUUUUCUGAUCAAAAUCGAUCGUCCUUUUUUGUUGAAAACAUAAGUAUGAUAUACUUCACGUGAUGUUAGACUUGAAAAUUUUUGAGUGCAAUAUAUGAGUAAGUAUUCAAUACUAACAUUUUUUCUCUAAACAUUAACUACCAACAUAGCUUAUCAGAUAAUGCAGCAUUGUUUAUCCGACAUGCAUAACCUCCUAACACUCAGACACUGAGACACACCAUCCAUUACCGUCACUGAAUCUAUGUCAGCGUGCUGAGCCAGGGUUAGGAACCUCCACUAACUCGUUAGAGGCAAACCCAAGAUCUAGACUGCUUCUGCUUAAUUCCAUCACUAGCUUAAUCCACUAUGAAAUGUAAAUGCACAACACUCUUAGCAAUUCGCUCAUAAGAUUCUUGAAUUUGGCAAAUUUUUGGUGCAAUCUUCACUGCGAGAAAAACGACCUUUUGUCCAACAUAUUAGUACCGGCCACAUUUCAACCCGUACUAAUACCAACAUUAGUAUCGGAUCCAAUUUAGUAGCCACCGGAGACCUUUUAGUACCAGGUCAUAACACCACCCAAUACUAAAAUGUUGAAGAUAGGUUGCCAAUGGUGAGGUGGAGCGUGGGGUCGAUGACGGUAAUAGCGGCGGGGAACUUCAACCCCCAGCCGAAGGGGCCAUGGCAGGUGGCAGGGAGAGGUUGAGGCUGUAGAGGAGAGGGUGUUUGAGCUUUGGGGGUGGCGAUUUGGAUUUGUUGAAGGAUAGCGGUGGGAUUUGCUGCUCAUUGUGGUUCAGGUGGAGGAACAAAGUAGAAAGAAAGAGACGAAAAUGUGGCCAACACUUUCAAGGAAAAGCAUGAGGUGACAUGGAGGAAUGCAUGAGCGAGGGUGUGGAUAGGCAACCCUUGAAAUGGAUUUCCAAGGACGGAUCACGGGAUGAACCAUCCCUGGAAAUGGGGCUAUUUUUAGGAGCGGAGGGAAACAUGGCCUGCAUCUAUAAAUAAGUAUUUUUAGGGGUAGGUCUUGUUUCUGUUCGUUCUAGGAAAUGUACAUUUCUAGGGGUACCCCACCCCAUAAUUGUAACACCUGGUUUUAAAACAAAACCAAGUGUUACCUAUAUGUAUGCCAGGAUCUAGUUUCAUAUAUAUAGUGAUAUCAUCAGUGAAUAAUAGUAACAAUAUCACGUAAAAAAAUAUAAAUAAUGACUUACGAGUCUAUCAGAGAUAUACAACUUAAUCAUGGAAAUCAAGGCUCCAAACUUCACAAGCAAUCGACUGUGGGUUGCGUACAUCUAGAACUCAGCAUCAUCUUGAGAAAACAUCACACACCUUCUUCUGAGCAGCAGUAAGUAAGGGUGAGUACACUUAUGGUUGGUACUCAGCAAAACCAUAUUGUGCCAAUCAUGCACUCAUCACACUACCGAGGUGUGACUACAUAGGGACACUACAAGAUCUUUACAAAGAUUCCCUAAUAAGUGGUAACCCGCUAAGGUUUCAUGUCGAAGUAGAGCAUAAACCUCUCUCAAGAUUGCGAAGCUAACAUAGAGCAGAUCAGACUGAGGGUCGGGUUACACCUCAUCAACGCCUCCCCUCUUGUCCUUUCGGUAAGAUUACCUCAAGCUGGAGUCUCUAAUUAAUUAGCCAAGACCAGAGCCAUAUAGUCCUUGUAGUUGCACUAUUUUCCUGGGUGGUUCUUCAUGUUCCAAUUAAUGCAUGGUAUUCUUGUAAAAUAAGAAUAGAUAGAAGGAUGGUUAAGGACACCUACCUUUAUCCAACGAAAAGUUACUCUUACUGCUCUUUAGCUCUUGCUCUCUUGAAACUCUUAAUCUUCAAAUCUUUUGAACAACUAUCCUUCUAUUUGAAGAAAUCAUCGGCACAAACAUAUAAGCAAACAAAAAAAGUACAAUUAAGAACAAUACACCAAAACAAAAAAAAUCUUGAAAAGAGUAUAAAGGAUAUGGCUCAAUUCUAAGAUCGCGAGGAUGUAAGAAACGCUUAAAACCAAACUAAGGUUGAAAAGACAAAGCUAUUGAGAGAUUUGAAUUAUAAAAGAAAAAGAAAAGCCUACGUGCUUCAUAUAUUUUAAUAAAGAAAACAAUGUAAAGAUAUUUUAGAGAAAAAUCCUUAUCAAGUUAUAUUUAUAUAUGAAAAGAUCAAGGUAGAACUUCGUCAAAUUUUUAUUUAUAAACAUUAAAGUACAAUUUAGGCAAAUUAAACAUUUAAUUUGAAAAUAAAGUAAGAGCCGCAAGACUCAAGGAACAAGCUAAACCAUUCAGUGGAUCUUCGGGGGUCUAGAUGCAAAAAGCUCAGAACUUUCUUCCUCAUGGCCGACGGUAGCUUGUACAGCCAAAUCACUGGCGCUACGGCGGCUGGGGUCUCCGGCGGACGGCACAGGAGGUGGAGGAGGUCCAGGGGAUCUAGUGGAGGCUCUUACCGGUGGCGGAGGUGAAGGGGGGCGGCCGAAAUUCGGAGGCGAUAAUGACCGCAGCGGUGGCUCGAGCUCCGCGCGGUGGCAACGCUCCGGUGAUGGAGGGGCGUCGAGGGCUGGCGUCAGUUCUUCAUCUUGGUGCAGGGACACUCCAGGUGGCAUCAGCAUGCUCCAGUUCGAACGUCAACCGCGACGAAACGGGCGGCCAACUCCUACGGCACUUCGGCUCUAGCGAUCGAUGGCGCACGGCGCUGCGCGAGCAGGCGAGGUGAGGCGCGAGGGAGGAAGAAGGGAUGAUGCGGAGCCUCAAGCUUGCUAUUUAUAGGGGCGUGGGAGGUGUGCCUUGGAGUGGCACGCACGAUGAGGAAACGACGGCAGUGGCGCAGUCCGCUUGGUGGCCGGGCUUAGAAGGGCCAAGCUGGGCCAACUAGUGGCGGACGGGUCAGAGCGGGCUGAUGCGAGUCAAGCCCAUAGCCUCGGCCCAAACUGAUAGGAUAGGUUUUUUUAUUAUUUUUAGAAAAUAAUUUCCCGUGGAAGGAAAAUCCAGAUAAAUCAAGAUAAUUCAAUAAAAGCUACAAAAAAUACUCUAAAAAUUCCCAAAAAUUUUAGGAAAAAUCCUAGUCGUAGAUUGGGACAUGAGGAAUCCAAAUAAAAUACUUGGAGCCCAUGAAAAAGGAAUUAGAGCCUUCUACUAAAUAGAUUUAUUUCUAGGAAAAUGAGAAUAAAUACCAGAAAGAUCUGGAAAAUUCUCAGGAGAAUUUGGUCGUCGUCUAAAUGCAUUUUUGAAACUUUUUCACUCAUGAAAUACUAUAAUGCAUCGGCAGGAAUGCAAAACACGUAGAAACAUUUUAUUUCUUUCAAAAUCAAUGAAUUGUUUUUCCUAUACUACAUUUCCUGUCAAAAAAAUAAAUGUUGAAAUUUUUUUAAAAUUAUGAGAAAAUCAUUGUUUAAUUAUUAUUUUUAUUUAAUCACAUCCUAAAAUCUAAAAAUUUCAGGGUGUGAAUAAUCCACCCCUAUAAAUCCAUUUUUAGAGGUGGAUGAAUUGCUACAGUAACACCUAUUUUUUGGUUGGGGGGCUUCUCAUCCAGCCAAAAAAAUCAAGUGGCACCUAAAAAUCAUUUUUUAGUAGUGAUCGUACACGCGCUUCACUGCCAUGAACGCCGCCAUGCAUACCGCUCAACCAGCCGCCGGCGCCAUAGAUGGUGGCAUUCCGGUUCUUUCCCCAGUGUGGCAGGCCGCCGUACUUGCCCAUUGCCAUCUGCAUCUUGAUCUCGUCCACGACCUCCAAGUUUUGCACUGCACUAUGGACAAAAUAGUGCCCAUUAUCGUGCAGGGUUUUCCAUGUGAAUUGGCCCAAGGUACAUUCAACUUAUUUUGGCUGGCUUGGUCCCACAGUUUGAACCCAGAUUUUGGAUCUUUCCGCAUUUAAAUUGGUGCUGCUGCUGCAUUUAUUUGAUAAUGGUGCAAGAUAUGGAACCAUACAACAAAGGUAACUCAUCAUUAAUUUAGAAGGGUGCACAGAUUCAUGUAAUAAAUAAUCUACACCACCUAAGAUGUGUCUCUACCUCUAUAUAAACAAGAGCAAUCAAAGCAAUAUGUGCAUACUGGAACAAAAUAUCUACAGGCAUACCAAUAGUGUUCCUUUUCAUAUGGCAGUGAUCAAGAGCAGCGCAGUGAGGUCCAUGUGUGCUGCACUUUGCAUUCUUUUGAUAAUGUCUUCAGCACUCUCAGAGCUGGUGGAAGUUGUGUAUCUAACUGCUUUUCUACUUCCCAUGGUUUCAUUAUAUUCGUGGGGUUUACUAGGUGCGAUGUGGAUUUCAUGCACAUGAUCACGCUGAGUGUGACCCUAUGGACUGAUGCACUGAUCCGAAAUGCGAGGAUGAAUGUCAGAACAAAAAUACUGACCUACCUAUUGAACCUGAGUGCACCACACCUAAGGAGUGUUGCUGCACAUUUUAUCGGGAGGAAGAUAAUUCACUUCUUUGAAUAGAUUAAAAUGGUUGCCGAUGGCUAGAUUCAUUUCAUGGAUGCAGCCGAUACCAGAAUAGUACGCUUGCAUGUAAUGCAUCCAUAAUAUGUUUCUACCCAAAUCUAAUAAAAUAAAUGUGUCCCAUUUGUCCUCUUUUCCUCUAGUGUUUUUUUUACUCCCAAAUUCCAUGCUAAUAAAUGCUGCAUACAUGAUUUUAUUUUAAAAACAUUUCUGAAUACAUUUAAUUUGAUAAGUUCAAACACCGAGUGAGUCUUCUAUCUAUUGUAGGCUUAUGUUUAGUGAAGUGUGCCGGGCCUACUACUUCGGUGUUGGGCUGAGCCCACAUGAGAGCAGCUCCAGCGUUGCUCUUUUGAGGGUGCUCCAAGGAGAGAGAAAAAUAUUCUCCGGCAGCUUCACGCUGGAUCAGAGGGUGCUAGGGAGGUGCUAGGGAGCAGCUGAUGAUGAGUUUUGCACCAGGCGCUACGCAUUCAAUAUAUUUUCUGAAGUAACGUGGUUGGAUGGAUAGGUGAGAUAGUGGGAAGAAAAGCUAGAUCAAUGAUUCUUUAUUCAGCUGGAUCAAUGAUUUCUGAGAUGAGGUACUCAGCAGAUUGAACCGCCACAAGUGCCCUUCUCUUCUUAUCAGCCCGGUGUGCCUUGGUAUUGUCUUCCUGAAUAAUGGCCUUAUUAACCAGAUUACUAGAGCUGUCGUAGUAACAACCAAACGAACUGCAGCUUAGUACCGAGGCCCCUUCUCAAGCAAGCCUACUUUUUAGCAUGACAACUGGCGUACCGAGCAAGUUGAUUAACACUAUUAGCAUAUUGGAACACAGUUUGAUUUCUUUGUUUAAGUGACAUGACCUCUGACGGUUUUCUUUAGGCUGUGGAAAACGGCUCGUACCAACUCUGCCCGUUGAGAUGACCACACCCUGUUUCCAUUACCCCGUUAGGAAUGGAAACACAAACCAUUAUCUUGUACCCUAUCUUAACUCUGAAGUCUUCUUGGAAUAAUUUUCCGAUAACGGAAGUUUUAUUGAUUUAAUAAAUGUUACAUCACGGUGAUAUAAUUAACUUGAAAUCCUCCCAGCAUGUGCAAGCACAGAGCCUUACAGGCAGAAACAAAUGCAGAUGCGCUAAUGACCAUCAAUCCGAGGACUCCGCCACCCAUGCACUUAGGUAAAAAAAUUCCUCGACCACUUUCACCAAGCACUGAGAUGAGAUGCCGCUGCAACGGAAACAUAUGCCGUAGACUUUUGGAGCAUAGCCCAUGUACGAAGCUAGUGGAUAACUCUAAAGAUAACCUGCAUUGGAUGAGAUAAGGGUUUGUUUUCAAAUACCAUAGCAUUCUUGCAGAGCAACAAUAACAACAUAGUAGCAAUCACCCCAAGUAAAUAAUGCCCGUCAACCAAGUGCCGAAAAUAUUUUCUAGGCUAAGGGGCUUGAGAAAGACUUCAGUUGCAAACAUAUCCGUAUUAUCCUCACUGAAUGGUCAUAAGUGUUUCCCUUCCGUUGCCGACACAAGACCAUCCGACGGCGAAGGGUGACUAACGCCACUAGCUGGUAAACUAAGUAUGCUGGAACUUGUCCACUAAGGUUAGAGUCUAGCUAACUCAGCAUGGGUGCCCAUAUUUCUUAAUUAUGUUUCCGUUGGUUGAUAACAUACCCAUCGGCAUCCUAUCGUCAUGACUUAAUGAAUCCCAAUAUCUUCUAGACUAACGUUUACUUACAUGAGUAGGGUGUGUAUGCAUGUGUGGUUAACAGGUAUUUACUUUAAGGUCGGCUGGGCCGGCUUUCUCGAUGUGUCUAAUUAUGCUUAAGAAAAAGAAUCACUAGUGGAAAACUGAGUUUUAGUCCCGGUUGCAGACACGCAUAGAUGUCAAAAAUCCAACCGGAACUAAUCAUUCGGACUGUAAUAAUAAAAUUUGUUUGAAAUUAAAUACAUUGCAUUUAAAUUUUCAUGGGCAUUUAAACCUUUUUCAAAAUAAAUUAAUGAAUCAUAGGAGUUCGUUGUUGCAUUCACGAUGGUGCAUUAUUUUUGGUUGCUUGAAUUCAAAUUUGUGUUUGAAUUCAUCUGUUUGACUCUUUUAAACAAAUAGGAAACCCCUUUUCUUUUCCCUCCCUUUUCUUUUCUUCCUUUCAGCCUGUUUCUUUCUUUGGGCCCACUUCCUUCUCUUUCGCCCAGCAGCAAAACUGAAUAUGCACUUUGAAGAUAAACAUGCGAACCAUCAAAGGGCAGCAGACAACUUACAUACGCGACGGAGCGUUCUAAAUGGCAGAGUAGCCUUGCUGCCACGAUCCACUAAGAUCCAGCCCCACGUCGCAUGAAUUCCUCCCUCCCCCCUCCACCCCCGACAACGGCUUCAGGCUUGGACCCGCUACGACGACCAAGGACAAAUGCGCUCAAGGCUUGGGAAGAAAUUAACUUCCAUUGUCGGAACACUUGUUAAGGAUUACAAGAGACCAUAUCGCAAGUUUAUCUUCUUAGGUAUGGUCCACAAUGGAAGAGAGAUCUCCUAACUUGACCAAGCGGAUGUACACACUAUCAUUUGGCACGAAUCAGGCCAAGUCAGAUAGGUGCUAGUGGAGUUCCAUAUUCCACUACGUCCGGUAUGUAACUCAUAAUCGACCACCGGGGAGGGACAUGUGUGGGAUGGAUCGAAGACAAGACAAUGGCCAACACACGCAUGGACAUACCGGCCACAGGGUACCAUUACGUGUUUGUUGGACCCAACACAUGAAAAUAGCUGCGUUGGCCAUGAAAAUGUUUCCUAUAGGUCACACCUAGUGGCAUCAAAACCAUUUAGUGCCACUAACUGGUUGUGAUGAUUGAUGUCACAAACGGUUCUUUGUGCGUAGCGAGUUUAUAGCUGUAAUUCAAUUGAACCUGUUCUAGUACCUUGAACAACUAGUUCUUGAUGAGUAGCCAGGAGUGACGUUCCAUUUGUAACUAUUUAUUCUCUAUUAGUCUAAUGUUGUGAUAAAUGAUUUGCGUUGUCAGUUUAUGCACUUUGGCAGCCUGGAUGUAUGUCUUUUGAAGUAUGUGUAACUUUCUCUAGAAUUGAGGAACUUUAAUUGACUAAGUGGUCUUGGAUUUACAGCAUCAACCACUAUAAUUAGCCAUUGCUCCAAUGGCCCAUUUUUUCCGUUAAUGCUAUAUGAUCCGACACCAAUAUGUGUACAAACAUAAGAGCAUCUGACGAGUAUCAUUUUACGGUGAAGACAUUGGAUCCCCACUCGCACUAACACAUUGCAAAUGCGAAAAGCAGGACCGGGUCUCCCCCCUGCAAUAAAUGCCAUUUUAACUGGUCCUAUAAACUGUUUUCUAGUGGUGUGAUGUAGUCUGUUGGAAUCAGCACCGUGGAACCAUCUGACAUUCAUACAUUAGCUUCACCAAACAAAUAUUCUUCUGUGCAUUAAAGCUUCAUACUUCAACAUGUACAAGUUCUCUAUGUAGGAUAUUUCAGCUAGAAGAUCUUCCCUUUCUUGAACUAGCCAUUUGAGCAUUAUUCAUUCUCAGGCCCAUUGUUCCAACGGCUUGCACGUUCUUGGAAUGUGUUAUCAUGGAAUGCUAGGGGUAUCGAUUCGUAGACAAGAUGGAAUGUCGUCAAGAGCAAAAUAUCUGAAUCCAACUGUGAUAUUGCCUGUUUACAAGACACCAAAAGGGAGUUUUUUUAUGCUAGAUAUAUUAGGAACUUCUAUCUCCCACAGUUAGAUUCUUUCGAUUUCCUCCCAUCUAUUGGCAACUCAGGGGGAACUAUUAUAGUGUGGAAUGGUUCCAAAUUCAAGGGGGAACCUAUCUUUCAAAAUCUUUAUGCCCACUUUGUAGAUUUUCAGUGCAAGCUAUCAGGGGAACGUUGGAUCCUCACGAAUAUCUACGCCCCAUGUACUCCGGAGGGGAAGCUAUCCUUUAUUGACUGGUUCAAAAGGGUUGAAAUACCAGAGGAAAAAAAUUGGCUAAUAGUUGGGGACUUCAACCUUCUUAGGAAGCCGGAUGACAGAAACAAUCCGGGGGAAACAAUCCGGGAGGAAAUGUUCAGGAAAUGCUUCUCUUCAAUGAAGCUAUUAGCAGGCUUAGGCUCACAAAAAUUCAGCUCAAAGGAUGCAAGUACACUUGGUCCAACAAACAGCAGAAUCCUCUUCUGGAGAGGCACGAUUGGUUCUUCAUAUCUAACCCUUGGACCAUCUCCUAUCCCAAUACUUAUGCCUCAUCGCUGUCCAGUGACUCCUCAUAUCAUGUUCCUUGUGUAGGCUCGAUCUCUAAUAGCAUUCCACAGCCACAAGUUUUUAGAUUUGAGAAUUAUUGGCUAGAACAUGAUCGGUUCCCAACCAUUCUCCAACAAGGUCGGGCAACUCCACUUCUAGGCACAGAUAGGGCAAAGAACAUCGGGGCCAAGUUCAAAAACCUGAGGAAGGUUUUCAGGAUCUAGAAAGCAUAGCUCCCCAGUUUGGCGAAAGCAAUCCAGAGCACCAAAGACACCAUUCAACUCCUUGACAUCAUCGAAGAACUUAGAGAUCUUACCCUGCAAGAAUGGAACUUUAGAGAAGUCAUCACAUCACAUCUGAAUAGCUUGCUCCACCAACAAAAAGUCUAUUGGCAGCAAAGAAGCUCCAUCAAUUGGGCCAAAAUGGGGGAUGAAUGUACAAAAUUCUGCCAUGCAAGGGCCUCAGUCAGAAAUAGAAUCAAUUAUAUCACUUCUUUAGUUGAUGCCAAUGGACAAAUUGUCUCUAAACAUGAAGCUAAAGCCAGGAUUCUUUGGGAAGCUUAUAAGGAAAGGAUGGGGAGAUUUGAAUUUACUCACAUGUACUUUGAUCUUUCUACUAUCUUGACAUCAGAUCCAAAUUUGGAAUGGCUAGAAUCUCCCUUUAUGAAAGCAGAGAUCGACACAAUUACAGGGGAACUUCCAAGUAACAAGUCCCAAGGCCUAGAUGGCUUGAAUGGAGAGUUUCUCAAGAGAUGUUGGGACUUGAUAGCUGAAGAUUUUUAUAGACUGUCUGAAGGUUUUCUUGACAUAAGUGUGUGUGUUCAGAGCAUUAAUGCUUCAUACAUCACACUAAUCCCCAUGAAAGACUGUCCCUCUCAAGUGGGAGACUUCACGCCAAUCUCCCUCCUAAACUCAACGAGCUAAUAACUAAAAUUCUAGCAGAAAGGCUACAACAGGUUAUCUUAAGACUAGUGUAUAAAAAUCAGUAUGGUUUCAUAAAGUCUAGAUCCAUACAAGACUGUUUAGCAUGGGCUUUUGAAUAUCUUCACAUCUGUAAAGCCUCAAAGAGAGAAUUAAUCAUCAGCAAGCUGGACUUUGAAAAAGCCUUUGAUAGGAUUGAGCACCAAGCCAUUUUGGAUAUCUUAAAACAUAAGGGCUUUGGGGACAGAUGGAUUGGGUGGAUAAAGGACAUUCUCAACACUAGAACAUCUUCAGUACUCCUCAAUGGUGUGCCAGGGAAAGUCUUUCAUUGCAGAAGAGGUGUCAGACAGGGGGAUCCUCUAUCCCCACUUCUAUUUGUGCUAGCACCGGACCUUUUUCAGUCAAUCCUAAAUAAAGCCAAAGAGGAAGGAAGCUUACACCUACCGAUCCCUGAAAGAGCUGGACCUGACUUCCCAGUUAUACAAUAUGCAGAUGACACCCUUCUGGUCAUGGAAGCAGAUCCUUCCCUGUUGUUGCAUCUCAAGCAUCUGCUUAAUCAGUUUGCGGAGUCAACUGGUCUUAAAGUAAACUACAACAAGACUGUUAUGGUACCUCUGAACACUUCUGAGGAUAAACUCCGACAACUUUCGUCAAUGUUCGAUUGCCAUGUCGGAAGCUUGCCACUCACCUACUUGGUGCUACCACUUGGUGCAACAAAGCCUAACAUUGAGGAAUUCCUUCCAUUAAUACAGAAGGUGGAGCGAAGAUUGGGAGGCAUCUCUAACAUGUUAUCUCAAGGGGGCAAACUCGAACAGGUAAAUUCAGUCUUUUCUUCCUCACCAAUGUUUCAUAUGGCAACCUUAAAGCUUCACAAGGGGGUUAUCACACAAUUAGAUAAAUAUAGGAAACACUAUCUCUGCAGAGGAUCUAAUUUGAAUUCUAGGAAACCCUCCAAGGCAGCUUGGCCUAUGGUGUGCCUACCAAAACAGCAAGGAGGACUUGGGGUUAUUAACCUGAACAGUCAAAAUGAUGCCCUUCUUCUCAAGUUCCUACACAAGUUCUUCACCAGAGCUGAUACUCCCUGGGUUCAUUUAUUCUAGGAUAAUUAUUAUUCUAAUGGGAAACUGCCUGGACAGCACAAAAAGGGCUCAUUCUGGUGGAGAGAUUUAGUCAAGCUACUGGACAAAUACGAAGGAAUAGUGUCGGCAUGGGUAUCGGAUGGCUCUACUGUAUUGUUCUGCAUGGACACAUGGAUUGAGCAGGUCCUCUACCUGGAAUUCCCCCAGUUAUUCUCUUAUGCCAAAAACAAACUGGUAUCAUAUAAGGAGGCUACAAGCAGAAUAUCACUGUCUCAAAAUUUUCACCUGCCACUCUCAGAAGAAGCUCAUCAGCAGUUGCUGAUUCUGCAGAAUAGAUUGAGGAAUACUGUGAGAGCUCAAGGCAGAGAUCAGUGGACUUACAUUUGGGGAAGCCCCCGCUUUUCGGUAGCAAAAACUUAUAAAGUCAUAACAGGCACAAGAACCAUACAUCCAAUUCAUAGAUGGAUAUGGAAAUCUAAAUGCCAAAAGAAGCACAAGAUAUUUUUCUAGCUAUUAAUUAAAUUCAGACUGAGCACCAAAGACAUUCUAAGCAGAAAAACAAUGUAUUUGGAUACUUAUGCUUAUGUGCUUUGCAUCCUCCAGAAAAAGGAGACAAUGCCGCACUUAUUCUUGAGAUGCAACUUCUCGAAAGCUUGUUGGAGCACUUCCUCCAGGCCACCCUUUCGGAUUUUUAACUCAAUCAAGGAUAAACUGAACGUUCCCUUCUACAUGGAGAUCAUUAUUUUAAUGGCCCGGAGCAUUUGGUCCGUGAGGAAUGACUGGACCUUCAACAAUGUCCCCCCUCGGUACAGAGCUGCAAAAGGAAAUUCAUGGAAAAAAUGAAUACCGUCUGUCUACAUAGAGCGAAAUCUUCCCUAGCUCUUGCCAUGAUGGAAUGGUUGUAAUCUUUUCUUUCUUUUUUCUUCCUUUGUUGUUGCCUUUUCUACCUUCUACUUCUGUUGUUUCUUGGACUCGCCUUUCAUUUAAUAUAUUUCAGUAGGAGCUUGCCCCUCCCGUUCCUUCAAAAAAAAAACUUCGAGCACUUCUCCAUGGGCUUCAUCACCAUAGUUUCGAUUUGGGCAAUUUCAUUGCACCGAACCUUCCAGCUUGCAUUUUCUUAACUGAAUCUCGAGCAUGGGGCAAUAUUCUGGCAUCUACAACGGACCUGCCAUCAAGCAUUCCAAUGUAUAGAUCUAUCCUGUUUGUUUGCCUAAUAUUCGGAUGCAAUACUCCGCCGUGUGUAAAAAAAUCCAAGGCCAACGGACCAUACCGUGUUAACAAUUUUAGUGCCUAAUCCAAUACAAAAUUAGUUCCAGUUUGUACGGCUACUCAUUCAUUGCAGUCUUCAGACCAAAUCUACGGUGACAUAUUUUUGGAAAUAAGCUUGUCGAAAUCACUAUAUUGUAAUUCAAUCACCAAAAUCUGAACUAUGGUCUGAUGGAGCCAAUUCUCCGUGGGCUUUAUUACCAAAGUUUCACCUUAGGCAAUUUCAUUUCACCUAACCUUCCAGCUUGCAUUUUCUUAACUGAAUGUUAAGCACGGUGCAAUACUCUGGCAUGUGCAACUGACCUGCCACCAAGCACUGCGAUGCAUGGUUCUAUCCUCUUUGGUUGCCUAAUAUUCUGUAAAAAAAAUAUUCAAGGCCAACAGACCAUACCGUGUUAAAAAUUUUAGUGCCCAAUCCGAUACAAAAUCAGUUCCAGCAAUGACGGCUAUUCAUCCAUUGCAGUGUUUGGAACACCUCCACAGUGACUAUAUUGUAAUUCAAUCACCAAAAUCCGAAACUAUGGUCUAGUGAAGCUAUAUUGUGUACGAAAUAUUAAUUCAUGGGAUUUGUCAACGAUUUUAUGAAGCUGUAUAUAUGAUACCUUCCACUACGGGAUUUGUGUACAAAAUAUUAAUUCAUGAGAUUUGUCCAUGAUUUUAGGAAGCUAUGAUAUCUUCAACUACCGGAUUGCGUAUAUAAGAUAAUCUUCACCAGUUAUCACAGGAGGAAGCACGCAUUAAAUAAUAAAUAACUAAUGCUGAUUCAACUCUGAGAUGAAAAGGAUUCCGUUCUCAAAAAUCGAAAAAAAGGUAACGUGCUCAUAACAAUGUCGACUCUUCACAUCUGAGAAGCUUAUAAGUGAACUACCUACCGUAUGUUAUUAAAACAUUUUUGCUGCCUAUAAAUUGGGCAUCAUUUCAGCAGACCACCACGGCACCUGAGCUUGCCAUCUUUUCCUGCUCAUCAUAUGUCCCGUAGCUACUAGCUACUAGCUAAGCCAUCUUUUCCUGCUCAUCAUAUGUCCCGUAGCUACUAGCUACUAGCUAAGCCAUCUUUUCCUGCUCACUCAUUUGUCCCGUAGCUACUAGCUAAGCCACCAUAUCAUCCAUGGCUUCUGGUGCCUCCACCACGCUGAAGAUGGCCUCUAUCGCCGCUUGCAUCCUGCUGGUCCUGCUGUCCAAUGGCCACCCUACCGCGGCAGCCGUUGAUUGUAUUGCGGCUUGCAAAGAACCGUGCCAGGGUUUUUCUAACGGGCUCUGCGCGGGUGGAGCCACCAGCGGUUGUACGACUACGGCAGCAGCUACAGCAUGCCGCAAUUUGGCGUUCUCGCAGUGUGCGAACACCUGCUUCACAGUUUGCACUGCUGUGAGCAUCGCGCCUUGCACUUGAAGAUGCAUUCGUGUUCCUACUUCCACAUUAUUGUUACUGCAGAAUAAUAUGGGUCAGUGCACACAAGCAUACAUGAUGAGCCACUGUCGUUUUUCCAUUUUGUCAUUUAUUUAUUGAAGGCAAUGUACGUUUUUCCAUUUGAUCAUUUACUUAUUGAAGGCAAUGUACGUGUCUAUCUCCUGUGUGGUUGAGCAUGUCAUCUUGGAAUUCUGUCCAAAGUUUUACAUACCACCUUGUAUUGUUGUGUGUGGGUAUCAAUAUAAUUUAUGAACUAUCUUCCUUUAUCAUAGACAUAUCAACUUUCCACUGCAAGAAACUAUUUAAUCUGUGACGAAACAAAAUUGUCACAUAUCACUAAAAAAUCGUCAUAAAGCAAUGCCCGUGAUGAUUUCAGAUAACGUCAUGUAUUGAGCGUCACAGAUUAAAUCGAUCGACGUUUUCUUCGAAAUCGUCACAGAUCAACACAAUCUAUGAUGUUUUUUACCUGUCACAAAACACCCUUAGGCCCGUGCAGCAGCCCAGGCCUAGUGUUUGUGACGAAAAUAAACAUCACAGAUGGUUGCCACGUGGCUGGUGAUGUGGUUGAUGACGUGGACGAGGACAUGGCUAGUGACGUCAUUGAUGAUGUGGCCAGUGACGUCGAUGACAUGGAGAGGCUUCACCAUAGUAUUUUGUAUCGCCGUUAGACCUAUCGUUUAUUUCCGCUGCUUUUGAACUCUGAACGCUACUUUUAUGCAUGUGAACUAUAGGCUUGUAAUAACUUAAUGUGGGACCUGUAAUAAUUUAUCUGGAUUGUUGUAAUCUUUGGACUCGUCUUCGUGCGAGUAUACUUUGUUUCGAUCCGAAACACAUGGUUGCAUCGGGUGAAACCCGACAGACUACCAAUUUAAUUCGAUUAAAGUGUCUAUUCACAUUUAAGGCUAUGUUGAAUAUACUUUAGCCGGGUUAACUUGGAUGGUUCUACCACACUGGCGCAUCCCUGAGGAUUCCUAUCUGCUUGCUCGAUGUCAUCUGUAUCUGGCCCUGUGAUAAGGGCGAAGAGUUCAUUGUCUAGAGAGAGGCUUCCAGAACUUUGGGUGAUGACUUAUUUAGAGUCAUUGUCUUCAUGGAUAGAAGACAAAGGUGAUCCCUCCUAGUACGGAAGAACGUUGAGAUGGGCCAUGAAGUGUGAUUCGUUGUCCUGGGCGAGGGUAGGUAGCCUCAUGCCAGGCUAGUAGAUGAAUCUGCCUUGAGGGGUUGAGGUGAUCACCAGGCCCUGCUGCGAACCUGUUAGUGGAGUCUCCUCGUCGGAAUCCAAGUAGUGAUCGUAGUUGUGGUCCUUAAUCGGACAUGAGUUAGAUUGCAACCCGGAUAAGGCUGCUUGAUAGGUGGAAGCUGCGUUACAGAGUCCGAAUGGGAGUUGGCUCGGAAUUUGACUUGAUUCGCACGAUGCAGAACCUGACAAGAUAACCUGCUGGGGUAUUACGUCAAUAGAUCAACCAAAAGAAUGCGCAAUAAUAUCUACCACCAAAGGCAACCCAAAAGCAUUAUCUACCUAUAGUGCCAGAUCAGUCAUCAACAAAGAUCUAUGGAGACCUUGUUUUCUCUUGCUUUGGAUUUGGAGAUAGCAUAGAACAAAAGCCUUGAACCUACAUAAACAAAGAAAAAAAGUACUGCAGUGCUAAAAAUAAGAAAUACCUCGUAGAAAAAUACCAGUAAUGGGUUUAUGGGUUCCCACUCAUCCUUGGGUAGCCACUUCUCUAGAGAGAUUCUUGUGUGUUCCGGUGUUGUAGUUUUCUGCGCAUGAUACAUAGCAACAUAAGGGCUAUUCCCCAACCUCAUAAUUGAUAGUAAUGUACAUCUUCUGGAAAGGACCUCUUUCUGUUGCAAGUGUGACUGCCACGCUCAUGCCAUUAAAGAAGUUAGCAGUUCGGUUAGGCAAUUAGUUGCCCACAGGAGGAAAGUAAAGCAACCGUGGAGAGUGCAGAGGCGUCUUUCUAGCUCCAGCAUCACCAAGCACACCACACCAGUCAUCAGCUAAUCUGAUGACAUGGCAGGAAAUUUAAGAGGGGAGAGAAGGAAUUAGUUUCAUCUAGAUGAAAUUCUUCUCGCAAUAAACCAACUCUGAAUGUGUCAUGAAAUUAAAUGUACCCCAUGCCGCUUUUUGUGCGCUCUUAUUAAUGUCGCUUUGUCUAAGUUCAAUACACUUACCAAGACUAUCGCAUUUGGUGACUGGCACUCCACCUAAGGGUACCCAGAUGGUUGAUUUGUAAACACAGAGGAUCGCAAGACCAUGAACUACUUGAUGGUAAUGCAAGGCACAAGACAUAGAGAUUUAUACAUGUUCGAGCCGUUAGUGUAGCGUAAUACCCUACGUCCUGUUUUGGGGGAUUGUAUUGCGCCCUGCGCUCGGGUGUUGGUUGUUGUGUUGAGGGAUUGGCCGUCCUCCUAGGGGUACCCCUACGUACCCUUAUAUACUCCCCUAAUAACUCUUCUUAAUAGGAUAGAUUACCAAGUAGAAUUAAUUAUGCAUGCACGCUUUCAGUAAUUGUCGCACCUAUUAGCCUUCCUUAUUUAGCGAGACUUCCUCGGGCAUCGAUGGUGUGCCGUUUCUAUAGUGAACGGUAAUGAAUGUGGACACUUUUAUGAGUGCUGACACGAAAGGUUCAAUUUGUAUGAAUGAUCUUCUGUAGGUACACUAACCGCGCUUACGUUACGUUAACAAAAGGUUAGAGAAUUGACUAGUUAUUAUAGGAAGAGCCGAAAACUGUUGCCUCGCCACCAGCACUAACCCCGUAAGUCCAAGUAAUUGGCAGUUCUUUCAUUUGUGAGGACGCAUAGGUCAUGCAUGCAUCAUGUUAAAAACUUGCAAAUUGGAAAUUGGAACAACUUUCCUAUAGAUGAUUGGGAGGACUAAUGUCACUCUCACAAAAAAUUUUGCCAAAUCACCUAAGGAUUUUCUAGUUGUCUCGAACUGCAGCUAACUACUGUCAGAAAUUUUUUUCUCCGAGCUCUUAAAUGGUCUUGGUUCCAGAAUUUAGUAAAUGAUAUGCUGUAAAAAUUUCAUAAAUUUUGGUCAAGUGAAACUCGAGUUAUGCUUGAAUAACUAACCCACUGUUUGCAAACUGCCACUAAGGUUCACAGGUAGCUCUGAAUGUUCGCUUCUCUGUUGAACAUUACUCUGAAACCUAGCAGAAAAGGGUCGAACAGGGACAGCCAGUGCAGCCAAGAAUCCAUGAACUAAGGUCAAUAUCAAGAAGUAUGUCUGAAGCUAGUAGCAGUGGUUCAGGCUCCAAGUACUUCUUGCCAAAAUUGUGUCCUCCCGGGUUGACUCGUACCCAAAGGAGGAAGUUGCAGAGGUUAAGGCUGCAGGAGAAGAGGGAACAGAAGCUGGAGAAGCGAAGGAAUGAGGCAUUCAACACGAAUAGACCCAUAGUCCCUCAGAAGAAGGAGUGGAGAGUUAAGGCCGAUACCCCCAACUCCACCAGUCAGACUUGCAGAAGGACCGGUCGGACCUAGUGCGGUCGGCAUGGUCGGGGCGGUCACUGGCGCAGUCGGCGUGGUUGAUGACUCGGUCGGCGCGGUCGUCGGCGCAGUCAGACCGGUCGAGGGGUCGGCGAGGAGCGACGGCGGGGCAACAAAGUAACCGUGAGCGUGGCGGGGCGGAGCUUGAGCGGCGGAGGCGGAUGGGAGGGGUGGAGGCGGCGGUGGAUGUGGAGGGGAGGUAGCGGAGGGGGAGGAGGAGGAGGAGGCAGAGGAGGCCGGCGGUGGGCGGAGGAGGUGGAGGAGGGUGAGGAGGAGGAGGAGGCAGAGGGAGGUCAGGGCUGGCGGGGGGAUUUUCUUUUUUUAAGAACAUUCAGCCUUAUUAUCACCUAGCGGAGGCGGAUGGAGUUCCACAACAUGGUGUAUCGGACGGGCAUUUCAUUGAAGUCCCUAGGGGCGUCUAAUGGGUGGCUGUAGUGGGUGUACAUCACGACGAGCGUCUGUAGCCAUUGCGACAGCCUAGAGCACGACAACGAGGCGGAAGACCCCGUCAUGGGUGAAGAUGGCCAGCGUUUUUUUAAAAAAACUUACAGGUGGCCAGUGUGGUGGGCAUGAUUGGGCUUAUCACCAGUGGCGGAGGAGGCGGACGCACGAAGCGAUGGGAAUGGCGCCGAGUUUGGUCGAACCAUCUGGAAACCAGAGUUGCAACGCUUGCACUGGACGGCUGAGAUUUACGAUGCUCGAUAUCUGACGGGCGAAAAAGGGAGAGACUUGGCCCAAUCACUGCAGAGAAACUUCACCGGAAAUCAGGGUAAGCCUAAUAAUUUUGGCAGCUGUGUAUAUUUAGAUGCAUAUAAACAUUUAUAAACCUAAAACAUUAAAAUGACCUGCAAUUAAAAAUGGAGGGGUAAAAAAGAAGGCCCCGACAAACGUGUCAGCACAUUCCUGCCUUUCUCCCCCCAAUGAGUAAACUCCAAUCCAAAAUUUGACUGUAUUUUGUUAACGGUUAUAUUUCAUAAGUUUGAUAACAAUACCCAGCUAGGGCUAAUGAUGAUAUGAAAUUGGCCACAAUUUUUGUUCUUGGGAGGUAUCUGUGAGGUGAGAAAAUGGGCAACAUGUGUGGAAAAUGCUAAUACGCCUACCGUGUGGCAUAUUUUGCGUUGUACCACAUACUUACCAAUACUGAUACAAGAUAUGCUCAAUACCCCUCAAUCCAACUUACCAAUACUGAUACAAGAUAUGCUCAACUUGUGAACUUAACUGAGGUAUAUGCUUUCUAUGUUCGUCCGUUCCAGCAAUUGUCUAAGGCAACGCGAAAUCCAGUUACUGUGGGCUAAUAACAACCUAUCUGUUGGUGUUUCUUGGUGUCUAUGGGUGUGCUUCUGAUUUGCAUGCUUUUUUUGUUUGUUGUGUGAUGAAAUAAGGCACUAUGUACAUCUUUGCUUAUUAUUUCCCACUGAUAUAUGGGUACGGACGUGUAAUCAUUAAUUGUGAUAUUCAUUCAGCUGACGACAGUCAGUUGACAUCACUUGAAAGUAUGCUUGAAUUCGUAAGGUGUCCCGUGCAAGUAGCGUGGCUACAACCGCGGCAAUAUUUUUUUCUGAUCAAAAUCGAUCGUCCUUUUUUGUUGAAAAGAUAAGUAUGAUAUACUUCACGUGGUGUUAGACUUGCAAAUUUUUGAGUGCAAUAUAUGAGUAAGUAUUCAAUACUAACAUUUUUUCUCUAAACAUUAACUACCAACAUAGCUUAUCAGAUAAUGCAGCAUUGUUUAUCCGACAUGCAUAACCACCUAACACUCAGACACUGAGACACACCAUCCAUUACCGUCACUGAAUCUAUGUCAGCGCGCUGAGCCAGGGUUAGGAACCUCCACUAACUCGUUAGAGGCAAACCCAAGAUCUAGACUGCUUCUGCUUAAUUCCCUCACUAGCUUAAUCCACUAUGAAAUGUAAAUGCACAACACUCUUAGCAAUUCGCUCAUAAGAUUCUUGAAUUUGGCAAAUUUUUGGUGCAAUCUUCACUGCGAGAAAAACGACCUUUUGUCCAACAUAUUAGUACCGGCCACAUUUCAACCCGGUACUAAUACCAACAUUAGUAUGGGAUCCAAUUUAGUAGCCACCGGAGACCUUUUAGUACCAGGUCAUAACACCACCCAAUACUAAAAUGUUGAAGAUAGGUUGCCAACGAAAAGUUACUCUUACUGCUCUUUAGCUCUUGCUCUCUUGAAACUAUUAAUCUUCUAAUCUUUUGAACAACUAUCCUUCUAUUUGAAGCAAUCAUCGGCACAAACAUAUAAGCAAACAAAAAAAGUACAAUUAAGAACAAUACACCAAAACAAAAAAAAGCUUUAAAAGAGUAUAAAGGAUAUGGCUCAAUUCUAAGAUCGCGAGGAUGUAAGAAACACUUAAAACCAAACUAAGGUUGAAAAGACAAAGCUAUUGAGAGAUUUGAAUUAUAAAAGAAAAAGAAAAGCCUACAUGCUUCAUAUAUUUUAAUAAAGAAAACAAUGUAAAGAUAUUUUAGACAAACAUCCUUAUCAAGUUAUAUUUAUAUAUGAAAAGAUCAAUGUAGAACUUCGUCAAAUUUUUAUUUAUAAACAUUAAAGUACAAUUUAGGAAAAUUAAACAUUUAAUUUGAAAAUAAAGUAUAGGUAAACAUCUAAGCGCAUAACUUUAUGAUUCAGGUUGAACUAACCAAAUAUAAUUAAAAAAACACAUUUCUAUUUAUAUUUGUCAAAAUAAAAUUUAAUAAAUAAAACUUGAGAUAUAACCUAUGUAGCUUUUAUUUAUAAAACAAAAUCAAGACACAUUAAUCAAGUUGAGUUUAAUUGAUGAAAAGCUGAGGUAUAUCUCUAAUUAGCUUUUAGUUGGAAGAGUUGCUUAAAUAAGCAUUAACCAAAUUUACAUUAGUUAUCAAAAUACGAGGUUGAACUUUAAUUAGAUUUUAAUUAGAAAAGCAAGUAUAUAAAUACUUAAUCAUAUUAAUAUUUUAAAUAAAUUAUAAAAUAGGGAACAUGAUUAACAUUGCUUCUAACACAUUGUGUUAAGUUGAUAUGAAUCUAACGCAAUAAGAACGAGGUUAAACGGAGGUAAAACAUGGAAUCUAUGGAUUAAACAAGGUUCUAAGGAUCUAAAUAGAAUUAACUAUAGAUCUCAGGGGCUAGCAGAGAAGAUUCACAAGACAUGGAAAUGUGCUUCAAAAAGGCUGAAAGAUCAAGGUUAGAUUCAUAAAUGGAGCUUGGGUUGGACUAGGUUGUAGGAACCUCAUCUAACCAGGGGGUUCUAUGUAAGAGCCGCAAGACUCAAGGAACAAGCUAAACCAUUAAGUGGACCUUCGAGGGUCUAGAUGCAAAAAGCUCAGAGCUUUCUUCCUCAUGGCCGACGGUAGCUUGUACAGCCAAAUCACUGGCGCUACGGGCGGCUGGGGUCUCCGGCGGACGGCACAGGAGCUGGAGGAGGUCCAGGGGAUCUAGUGGAGGCUCUUACCGGUGGCGGAGGUGAAGGGGGCCGGCCGAAAUUCGGAGGCGACAAUGACCGCAGCGGUGGCUCGGGCUCCGCGUGGUGGCAACGCUCCGGUGAUGGAGGGGCGUCGAGGGCUGGCGUCAGUUCUUCGUCUUGGCGCAGGGACACUCCAGGUGGCAUCAGCAUGCUCCAGUUCGAACGUUAACCGCGACAAAACAGGCGGCCAACUCCUACGGCACUUCGGCUCUGGCGAUCGACGGCGCACGGCGCUGCGUGAGCAGGCAAGGUGAGGCGCAGGGCGAGGGAGGAAGAAGGGACGACGCGGAGCCUCAAGCUUGCUAUUUAUAGGGGCGUGGGAGGUGUGCCUUGGAGUGGCGCGCACGAUGAGGAAACGACGGCAGUGGCGCAGUCCGCUUGGUGGCUGGGCUUAGAAGGGCCAAGCUGGGCCAACUAGCGGCGGACAGGUCUCAGCGGGCUGACGCGAGUCAAGCCCACAGCCUCGGCCCAAACUGAUAGGAUAGGUUUUUUUAUUAUUUUUAGAAAAUAAUUUCCUGUGGAAGGAAAAUCCAGAUAAAUCAAGAUAAUUCAAUAAAACCUACAAAAAAUACUCUAAAAAUGCCCAAAAAUUUCAGAAAAAAUCCUAGUGGUAGAUUGGGACACGAGGAAUCCAAAUAAAAUACUUGGAGCCCAUGAAAAAGGAAUUAGAGCCUUCUACUAAAUAGAUUUAUUUCUAGGAAAAUGAGAAUAAAUACCAGAAAGAUCUAGAAAAUUCUGAGGAGAAUUUGGUCGUCGUCUAAAUGCAUUUUUGAAACUUUUUCACUCAUAAAAUACUAUAAUGCAUCGGCAGGAAUGCAAAACACGUAGAAACAUUUUAUUUCUUUCAAAAUCAAUCAAUUGUUUUCCUAUACUACAUUUCCUGUCAAAAAAAUAAAUGUUGAAAUUUUUUUAAAAUUAUGAGAAAAUCAUUGUUUAAUUAUUAUUUUUAUUUAAUCACAUCCUAAAAUCUAAAAAUUUCAGGGUGUGAAUAAUCCACCCCUAUAAAUCCAUUUUUAGAGGUGGAUGAAUUGCUACAGUAACACCUAUUUUUUGGUUGGGGGGAUUUCUCAUCCAGCCAAAAAAAAUCAAGUGACACCUAAAAAUCAUUUUUUAGUAGUGAUCGUACACGCGCUUCACUGCCAUGAACGCCGCCAUGCAUACCGAUCAACCAGCCGUCGGCGCCAUAGAUGGUGGCAUUCCGGUUCUUUCCCCAGUGUGGCAGGCCGCCGUACUUGCCCAUUGCCAUCUGCAUCUUGAUCUCGUCCACGACGUCCAAGUUUUGCACUGCACUAUGGACAAAAUAGUGCCCAUUAGGUUUUCCAUGUGAAUUGGCCCAAGGUACAUUCAACUUAUUUUGGCUGGCUUGGUCCCAUAGUUUGAACCCAGAUUUUGGAUCUUUCCGCAUUUAAAUUGGUGCUGCUGCUGCAUUUAUUUGAUAAUGGUUCAAGAUAUGGAACCAUACCACAAAGGUAACUCAUCAUUAAUUUAGAAGGGUGCACAGAUUCAUGUAAUAAAUAAUCUACACCACCUAAGAUGUGUCUCUACCUCUAUAUAAACAAGAGCAAUCAAAGCAAUAUGUGCAUACUGGAACAAAAUAUCUACAGGCAUACCAAUAGUGUUCCUUUUCAUACGGCAGUGAUCAAGAGCAACGCAGUGAGGUCUAUGUGUGCUGCACUUUGCAUUCUUUUGAUAAUGUCUUCAGCCCUCUCAGAGCUGGUGGAAGUUGUGUAUCUAACUGCUUUUCUACUUCCCAUGGUUUCAUUAUAUUCGUGGGGUUUACUAGGUGCGAUGUGGAUUUCAUGCACAUGAUCACGCUGAGUGUGACCCUAUGGACUGAUGCACUGAUCCGAAAUGCGAGGAUGAAUGUCAGAACAAAAAUAUUGACCUACCUAUUGAACCUGAGUGCACCACACCUAAGGAGUGUUGCUGCACAUUUUAUCGGGAGGAAGAUAAUUCACUUCUUUGAAUAGAUUAAAAUGGUUGCCGAUGGCUAGAUUAAUUUCAUGGAUGCAGCCGAUACCAGAAUACUACGCUUGCAUGUAAUGCAUCCAUAAUAUGUUUCUACCCAAAUCUAAUAAAAUAAAUGUGUCCCAUUUGUCCUCUUUUCCUCUAGUGUUUUUUUACUCCCAAAUUCCAUGCUAAUAAAUGCUGUAUACAUGAUUUUAUUUUAAAAGCAUUUCUGAAUACAUUUAAUUUGAUAAGUUCAAACACCGAGUGAGUCUUCUAUCUAUUGUAGGCUUAUGUUUAGUGAAGUGUGCCGGGCCUACUACUUCGGUGUUGGGCUGAGCCCACAUGAGAGCAGCUCCAGCGUUGCUCUUUUGAGGGUGCUCCAAGGAGAGAGAAAAAUAUUCUCCGGCAGCUUCACGCUGGAUCAGAGGGUGCUAGGGAGGUGCUAGGGAGCAGCUGAUGAUGAGUUUUGCACCAGGCGCUACGCAUUCAAUAUAUUUUCUGAAGUAACGUGGUUGGAUGGAUAGUUGAGAUAGUGGGAAACAAAUGCAGAUGCGCUAAUGACCAUCAAUCCGAGGACUCCGCCACCCAUGCACUUAGGUAAAAAAAUUCCUCAACCACUUUCACCAAGCACUGAGAUGCCACUGCAACCGAAACAUAUGCCGUAGACUUUUGGAGCAUAGCCCAUGUACGAAGCUAGUGGAUAACUGUAAAGAUAACCUGCAUUGGAUGAGAUAAGGGUUUGUUUUCAAAUACCAUAGCAUUCUUGCAGAGCAACAAUAACAACAUAGUAGCAAUCACCCCAAGUAAAUAAUGCCCGUCAACCAAGUGCCAAAAAUAUUUUCUAGGCUAAGGGGCUUGAGAAAGACUUCAGGUGCAAACAUAUCCGUAUUAUCCUCACUGAAUGGUCAUAAGUGUUUCCCUUCGGUUGCCGACACAAGACAUCCGACGGGGAAGGGUGACUAACGCCACUACCUGGUAAACUAAGUAUGCUGGAACUUGUCCACUAAGGUUAUAGUCUAGCUAACUCAGCAUGGGUGCCCAUAUUUCUUAAUUAUGUUUCCGUUGGUUGAUAACAUACCCAUCGGCAUCCUAUCGUCAUGACUUAAUGAAUCCCAAUAUCUUCUAGACUAACGUUUACUUACAUGAGUAGGGUGUGUAUGCAUUUGUGGUUAACAGGUAUUUACUUUAAGGUCGGCUGGGCCGGCUUUCUCGAUGUGUCUAAUUAUGCUUAAGAAAAAGAACCACUAGUGGAAAACUCAGUUUUAGUCCCGGUUGCAGACACGCAUAGAUCUCAAAAAUCCAACCGGAACUAAUCAUUCAGACUGUAAUAAUAAAAUUUGUUUGAAAUCAAAUGCAUUGCAUUUAAAUUUUCAUGGGCAUUUAAACCUUUUUCAAAAUAAAUUAAUGAAUCAUAGGAGUUCGUUGUUGCAUUCACGAUGGUGCAUUAUUUUUGGUUGCUUGAAUUCAAAUUUGUGUUUGAAUUCAUUUGUUUGACUCUUUUAAACAAAUAGGAAACCCUUUUCUUUUCUUCCUUUCAGCCUAUUUCUUUCUUUGGGCCCACUUCCUUCUCUUUCGCCCAGCAGCAAAACUGAAUAUGCACUUUGAAGAUAAACAUGCGAACCAUCAAAGGGCAGCAGACAACUUAAAUACGCGACGGAGCAUUGUAAAUGGCAGAGUAGCCUUGCUGCCACGAUCCACUGAGAUCCAGCCCCACAUCGCACGAAUUCCUCCCUCCCCCCUCCACCCCCGACAACGGCUUCAGGCUCGGACCCGCUACGACGACCAAGGACAAAUGCGCUCAAGGCUUGGGAAGAAAUUAACUUCCAUUGUCGGAACACUUGUUAAGGAUUACAAGAGACCAUAUCGCAAGUUUAUCUUCUUAGGUAUGGUCCACAAUGGAAGAGAGACCUCCUAACUUGACCAAGCCGAUGUACACACUACCAUUUGGCACCAAUCAGGCCAAGUCAGAUAGGUGCCAGUGGAGUUCCAUAUUCCACUACGUCCGCCAUGUAACUCAUAAUCGACCACCAGGGAGGGACAUGUGUGGGAUGGAUCGAAGACAAGACAAUGGCCAACACACGCGUGGACAUACCGGCCACAGGGUACGAUUACGUGUUUGUUGGACCCAACACAUGAAAAUAGCUGCGUUGGCCAUGAAAAUGUUUCCUAUAGGUCACACCUAGUGGCAUCAAAACCAUUUAGUGCCACUAACUGGUUGUGAUGAUUGAUGUCACAAACGGUUCUUUGUGCGUAGCCAGUUUAUAGCUGUAAUUCCAUCGAACCUGUUCUAGUACCUUGAACAACUGGUUCUUGAUGAGUAGCCAGGAGUGACGUUCCAUUUGUAACUAUUUAUUCUCUAUUAGUCUAAUGUUGUCAUAAAUGAUUUGCGUUGUCAGUUUAUAUAUGCACUUUGGCAGCCUGGAUGUAUGUCUUUUGAAGUAUGUGUAACUUUCUCUAGAAUUGAGGAACUUUAAUUGACUAAGUGGUCUUGGAUUUACAGCAUCAACCACUAUAAUUAGCCAUUGCUCCAAUGGCCCAUUUUUUCCGUUAAUGCUAUAUGAUCCGACACCAAUAUGUGUACAGACAUAAGAGCAUCUGACGAGUAUCAUUUUACGGUGAAGACAUUGGAUCCCCACUCGCAGUAACACAUUGCAAAUGCGAAAAGCAGGACCGGGUCUCCCCCUGCAAUAAAUGCCAUUUUAACUGGUCCUAUAAACUGUUUUCUAGUGGUGUGAUGUAGUCUGUUGGAAUCAGCACCGUGGAACCAUCUGACAUUCAUACAUUAGCUUCACCAAACAAAUAUUCUUCUGUGCAUUAAAGCUUCAUACUUCAACAUGUACAAGUUCUCUAUGUAGGAUAUUUCAGCUAGAAGAUCUUCCCUUUCUUGAACUAGCCAUUUGAGCAUUAUUCAUUCUCAGGCCCAUGGUUCCAACGGCUUGCACGUUCUUGGAAUGUGUUAUCAUGGAAUGCUAGGGGUAUCGAUUCGUAGACAAGAUGGAAUGUCGUCAAGAGCAAAAUAUCUGAAUCCAACUGUGAUAUUGCCUGUUUACAAGACACCAAAAAGGAGUUUUUUGAUGCUAGAUAUAUUAGGAAUUUCUAUCCCCCACAGUUAGAUUCUUUCGAUUUCAUCCCAUCUAUUGGCAACUCAGGGGGAACUAUUAUAGUGUGGAAUGGUUCCAAAUUCAAGGGGGAACCUAUCUUUCAAAAUCUUUAUGCCCACUUUGUAGAUUUUCAGUGCAAGCUAUCAGGGGAACGUUGGAUCCUCACGAAUAUCUACGCCCCAUGUACUCCGGAGGGGAAGCUAUCCUUUAUUGACUGGUUCAAAAGGGUUGAAAUACCAGAGGAAAAAAAUUGGCUAAUAGUUGGGGACUUCAACCUUCUUAGGAAGCCGGAUGACAGAAACAAUCAGGGGGAAACAAUCCGGGAGGAAAUGUUCAGGAAAUGCUUCUCUUCAAUGAAGCUAUUAGCAGGCUUAGGCUCAUAGAAAUUCAGCUCAAAGGAUGCAAGUACACUUGGUCCAACAAACAGCAGAAUCCUCUUCUGGAGAGGCACGAUUGGUUCUUCAUAUCUAACCCUUGGACCAUCUCCUAUCCCAAUACUUAUGCCUCAUCACUGUCCAGUGACUCCUCAUAUCAUGUUCCUUGUGUAGUCUCGAUCUCUAAUACCAUUCCAAGGCCACAAGUUUUUAGAUUUGAGAAUUAUUGGCUAGAACAUGAUCGGUUCCCAACCAUUCUCCAACAAGGUUGGGCAACUCCACUUCUAGGCACAGAUAGGGCAAAGAAUAUCGGGGCCAAGUUCAAAAACCUGAGGAAGGUUUUCAGGAUCUAGAAAGCAUAGCUCCCCAGUCUGGCGAAAGCAAUCCAGAGCACCAAAGACACCAUUCAACUCCUUGACAUCAUUGAAGAACUUAGAGAUCUUACCCUGCAAGAACGGAACUUUAGAGAAGUCAUCACAUCACAUCUGAAUAGCUUGCUCCACCAACAAAAAGUCUAUUGGUAGCAAAGAAGCUCCAUCAAUUGGGUCAAAAUGGGGGAUGAAUGUACAAAAUUCUGCCAUGCAAGGGCCUCAGUCAGAAAUAGAAUCAAUUAUAUCACUUCUUUAGUUGAUGCCAAUGGACAAAUUGUCUCUAAACAUGAAGCUAAAGCCAGGAUUCUUUGGGAAGCUUAUAAGGAAAGGAUGGGGAGAUUUGAAUUUACUCACAUGUACUUUGAUCUUUCUACUAUCUUGACAUCAGAUCCAAAUUUGGAAUGGCUAGAAUCUCUCUUUAUGAAAGCAGAGAUCGACACAAUUACAGGGGAACUUCCAAGUAACAAGUCCCAAGGCCCAGAUGGCUUGAAUGGAGAGUUUCUCAAGAGAUGGUGGGACUUGAUAGCUGAAGAUUUUUAUAGACUGUCUGAAGGUUUUCAUGACAUAAGUGUGUGUGUUCAGAGCAUGAAUGCUUCAUACAUCACACGAAUCUCCCUCCUAAACUCAACCAUCAAGCUAAUAACUAAAAUUCUAGCAGAAAGGCUACAACAGGUAAUCUUAAGACUAGUGCAUAAAAAUCAGUAUGGUUUCAUAAAGUCUAGAUCCAUACAAGACUGUUUAGCAUGGGCUUUUGAAUAUCUUCACAUUUGUAAAGCCUCAAAGAGAGAAUUAAUCAUCAGCAAGCUGGACUUUGAAAAAAGCCUUUGAUAGGAUUGAGCACCAAGCCAUUUUGGAUAUCUUAAAACAUAAGUGCUUUGGGACAGAUGGAUUGGGUGGAUAAAGGACAUUCUCAACACUAGAACAUCUUCAAUACUCCUCAAUGGUGUGCCAGGGAAAGUCUUUCAUUGCAGAAGAGGUGUCAGACAGGGGGAUCCUCUAUCCGCACUUCUAUUUGUUCUAGCAGCGGACCUUUUUCAGUCAAUCCUAAAUAAAGCCAAAGAGGAAGGAAGCUUACACCUACCGAUCCCUGAAAGAGCUGGACCUGACUUCCCAGUUAUACAAUAUGCAGAUGACACCCUUCUGGUCAUGGAAGCAGAUCCUUCCCAGUUGUUGCAUCUCAAGCAUCUGCUUAAUCGGUUUGCGGAGUCAACUGGUCUUAAAGUAAACUACAACAAGACUGUUAUGGUACCUCUGAACACUUCUGAGGAUAAACUCCGACAACUUUCGUCAAUGUUCGAUUGCCAAGUCGGAAGCUUGCCACUCACCUACUUGGGGCUACCACUUGGUGCAACAAAGCCUAACAUUGAGGAAUUCCUUCCAUUAAUACAGAAGGUGGAGCGAAGAUUGGGAGGCAUCUCUAACAUGUUAUCUCAAGGGGGCAAACUCGAACAGGUAAAUUCAGUCUUUUCUUCCUCACCAAUGUUUCAUAUGGCAACCUUAAAGCUUCACAAGGGGGUUAUCACACAAUUAGAUAAUUUUGGCAGCUGUGUAUAUUUAGAUGCAUAUAAACAUUUAUAAACCUAAAACAUUAAAAUGACCUGCAAUUAAAAAUGGAGGGGUAAAAAAGAAGGCCCCGACAAACGUGUCAGCACAUUCCUGCCUUUCUCCCCCCAAUGAGUAAACUCCAAUCCAAAAUUUGACUGUAUUUUGUUAACGGUUAUAUUUCAUAAGUUUGAUAACAAUACCCAGCUAGGGCUAAUGAUGAUAUGAAAUUGGCCACAAUUUUUGUUCUUGGGAGGUAUCUGUGAGGUGAGAAAAUGGGCAACAUGUGUGGAAAAUGCUAAUACGCCUACCGUGUGGCAUAUUUUGCGUUGUACCACAUACUUACCAAUACUGAUACAAGAUAUGCUCAAUACCCCUCAAUCCAACUUACCAAUACUGAUACAAGAUAUGCUCAACUUGUGAACUUAACUGAGGUAUAUGCUUUCUAUGUUCGUCCGUUCCAGCAAUUGUCUAAGGCAACGCGAAAUCCAGUUACUGUGGGCUAAUAACAACCUAUCUGUUGGUGUUUCUUGGUGUCUAUGGGUGUGCUUCUGAUUUGCAUGCUUUUUUUGUUUGUUGUGUGAUGAAAUAAGGCACUAUGUACAUCUUUGCUUAUUAUUUCCCACUGAUAUAUGGGUACGGACGUGUAAUCAUUAAUUGUGAUAUUCAUUCAGCUGACGACAGUCAGUUGACAUCACUUGAAAGUAUGCUUGAAUUCGUAAGGUGUCCCGUGCAAGUAGCGUGGCUACAACCGCGGCAAUAUUUUUUUCUGAUCAAAAUCGAUCGUCCUUUUUUGUUGAAAAGAUAAGUAUGAUAUACUUCACGUGGUGUUAGACUUGCAAAUUUUUGAGUGCAAUAUAUGAGUAAGUAUUCAAUACUAACAUUUUUUCUCUAAACAUUAACUACCAACAUAGCUUAUCAGAUAAUGCAGCAUUGUUUAUCCGACAUGCAUAACCACCUAACACUCAGACACUGAGACACACCAUCCAUUACCGUCACUGAAUCUAUGUCAGCGCGCUGAGCCAGGGUUAGGAACCUCCACUAACUCGUUAGAGGCAAACCCAAGAUCUAGACUGCUUCUGCUUAAUUCCCUCACUAGCUUAAUCCACUAUGAAAUGUAAAUGCACAACACUCUUAGCAAUUCGCUCAUAAGAUUCUUGAAUUUGGCAAAUUUUUGGUGCAAUCUUCACUGCGAGAAAAACGACCUUUUGUCCAACAUAUUAGUACCGGCCACAUUUCAACCCGGUACUAAUACCAACAUUAGUAUGGGAUCCAAUUUAGUAGCCACCGGAGACCUUUUAGUACCAGGUCAUAACACCACCCAAUACUAAAAUGUUGAAGAUAGGUUGCCAACGAAAAGUUACUCUUACUGCUCUUUAGCUCUUGCUCUCUUGAAACUAUUAAUCUUCUAAUCUUUUGAACAACUAUCCUUCUAUUUGAAGCAAUCAUCGGCACAAACAUAUAAGCAAACAAAAAAAGUACAAUUAAGAACAAUACACCAAAACAAAAAAAAGCUUUAAAAGAGUAUAAAGGAUAUGGCUCAAUUCUAAGAUCGCGAGGAUGUAAGAAACACUUAAAACCAAACUAAGGUUGAAAAGACAAAGCUAUUGAGAGAUUUGAAUUAUAAAAGAAAAAGAAAAGCCUACAUGCUUCAUAUAUUUUAAUAAAGAAAACAAUGUAAAGAUAUUUUAGACAAACAUCCUUAUCAAGUUAUAUUUAUAUAUGAAAAGAUCAAUGUAGAACUUCGUCAAAUUUUUAUUUAUAAACAUUAAAGUACAAUUUAGGAAAAUUAAACAUUUAAUUUGAAAAUAAAGUAUAGGUAAACAUCUAAGCGCAUAACUUUAUGAUUCAGGUUGAACUAACCAAAUAUAAUUAAAAAAACACAUUUCUAUUUAUAUUUGUCAAAAUAAAAUUUAAUAAAUAAAACUUGAGAUAUAACCUAUGUAGCUUUUAUUUAUAAAACAAAAUCAAGACACAUUAAUCAAGUUGAGUUUAAUUGAUGAAAAGCUGAGGUAUAUCUCUAAUUAGCUUUUAGUUGGAAGAGUUGCUUAAAUAAGCAUUAACCAAAUUUACAUUAGUUAUCAAAAUACGAGGUUGAACUUUAAUUAGAUUUUAAUUAGAAAAGCAAGUAUAUAAAUACUUAAUCAUAUUAAUAUUUUAAAUAAAUUAUAAAAUAGGGAACAUGAUUAACAUUGCUUCUAACACAUUGUGUUAAGUUGAUAUGAAUCUAACGCAAUAAGAACGAGGUUAAACGGAGGUAAAACAUGGAAUCUAUGGAUUAAACAAGGUUCUAAGGAUCUAAAUAGAAUUAACUAUAGAUCUCAGGGGCUAGCAGAGAAGAUUCACAAGACAUGGAAAUGUGCUUCAAAAAGGCUGAAAGAUCAAGGUUAGAUUCAUAAAUGGAGCUUGGGUUGGACUAGGUUGUAGGAACCUCAUCUAACCAGGGGGUUCUAUGUAAGAGCCGCAAGACUCAAGGAACAAGCUAAACCAUUAAGUGGACCUUCGAGGGUCUAGAUGCAAAAAGCUCAGAGCUUUCUUCCUCAUGGCCGACGGUAGCUUGUACAGCCAAAUCACUGGCGCUACGGGCGGCUGGGGUCUCCGGCGGACGGCACAGGAGCUGGAGGAGGUCCAGGGGAUCUAGUGGAGGCUCUUACCGGUGGCGGAGGUGAAGGGGGCCGGCCGAAAUUCGGAGGCGACAAUGACCGCAGCGGUGGCUCGGGCUCCGCGUGGUGGCAACGCUCCGGUGAUGGAGGGGCGUCGAGGGCUGGCGUCAGUUCUUCGUCUUGGCGCAGGGACACUCCAGGUGGCAUCAGCAUGCUCCAGUUCGAACGUUAACCGCGACAAAACAGGCGGCCAACUCCUACGGCACUUCGGCUCUGGCGAUCGACGGCGCACGGCGCUGCGUGAGCAGGCAAGGUGAGGCGCAGGGCGAGGGAGGAAGAAGGGACGACGCGGAGCCUCAAGCUUGCUAUUUAUAGGGGCGUGGGAGGUGUGCCUUGGAGUGGCGCGCACGAUGAGGAAACGACGGCAGUGGCGCAGUCCGCUUGGUGGCUGGGCUUAGAAGGGCCAAGCUGGGCCAACUAGCGGCGGACAGGUCUCAGCGGGCUGACGCGAGUCAAGCCCACAGCCUCGGCCCAAACUGAUAGGAUAGGUUUUUUUAUUAUUUUUAGAAAAUAAUUUCCUGUGGAAGGAAAAUCCAGAUAAAUCAAGAUAAUUCAAUAAAACCUACAAAAAAUACUCUAAAAAUGCCCAAAAAUUUCAGAAAAAAUCCUAGUGGUAGAUUGGGACACGAGGAAUCCAAAUAAAAUACUUGGAGCCCAUGAAAAAGGAAUUAGAGCCUUCUACUAAAUAGAUUUAUUUCUAGGAAAAUGAGAAUAAAUACCAGAAAGAUCUAGAAAAUUCUGAGGAGAAUUUGGUCGUCGUCUAAAUGCAUUUUUGAAACUUUUUCACUCAUAAAAUACUAUAAUGCAUCGGCAGGAAUGCAAAACACGUAGAAACAUUUUAUUUCUUUCAAAAUCAAUCAAUUGUUUUCCUAUACUACAUUUCCUGUCAAAAAAAUAAAUGUUGAAAUUUUUUUAAAAUUAUGAGAAAAUCAUUGUUUAAUUAUUAUUUUUAUUUAAUCACAUCCUAAAAUCUAAAAAUUUCAGGGUGUGAAUAAUCCACCCCUAUAAAUCCAUUUUUAGAGGUGGAUGAAUUGCUACAGUAACACCUAUUUUUUGGUUGGGGGGAUUUCUCAUCCAGCCAAAAAAAAUCAAGUGACACCUAAAAAUCAUUUUUUAGUAGUGAUCGUACACGCGCUUCACUGCCAUGAACGCCGCCAUGCAUACCGAUCAACCAGCCGUCGGCGCCAUAGAUGGUGGCAUUCCGGUUCUUUCCCCAGUGUGGCAGGCCGCCGUACUUGCCCAUUGCCAUCUGCAUCUUGAUCUCGUCCACGACGUCCAAGUUUUGCACUGCACUAUGGACAAAAUAGUGCCCAUUAGGUUUUCCAUGUGAAUUGGCCCAAGGUACAUUCAACUUAUUUUGGCUGGCUUGGUCCCAUAGUUUGAACCCAGAUUUUGGAUCUUUCCGCAUUUAAAUUGGUGCUGCUGCUGCAUUUAUUUGAUAAUGGUUCAAGAUAUGGAACCAUACCACAAAGGUAACUCAUCAUUAAUUUAGAAGGGUGCACAGAUUCAUGUAAUAAAUAAUCUACACCACCUAAGAUGUGUCUCUACCUCUAUAUAAACAAGAGCAAUCAAAGCAAUAUGUGCAUACUGGAACAAAAUAUCUACAGGCAUACCAAUAGUGUUCCUUUUCAUACGGCAGUGAUCAAGAGCAACGCAGUGAGGUCUAUGUGUGCUGCACUUUGCAUUCUUUUGAUAAUGUCUUCAGCCCUCUCAGAGCUGGUGGAAGUUGUGUAUCUAACUGCUUUUCUACUUCCCAUGGUUUCAUUAUAUUCGUGGGGUUUACUAGGUGCGAUGUGGAUUUCAUGCACAUGAUCACGCUGAGUGUGACCCUAUGGACUGAUGCACUGAUCCGAAAUGCGAGGAUGAAUGUCAGAACAAAAAUAUUGACCUACCUAUUGAACCUGAGUGCACCACACCUAAGGAGUGUUGCUGCACAUUUUAUCGGGAGGAAGAUAAUUCACUUCUUUGAAUAGAUUAAAAUGGUUGCCGAUGGCUAGAUUAAUUUCAUGGAUGCAGCCGAUACCAGAAUACUACGCUUGCAUGUAAUGCAUCCAUAAUAUGUUUCUACCCAAAUCUAAUAAAAUAAAUGUGUCCCAUUUGUCCUCUUUUCCUCUAGUGUUUUUUUACUCCCAAAUUCCAUGCUAAUAAAUGCUGUAUACAUGAUUUUAUUUUAAAAGCAUUUCUGAAUACAUUUAAUUUGAUAAGUUCAAACACCGAGUGAGUCUUCUAUCUAUUGUAGGCUUAUGUUUAGUGAAGUGUGCCGGGCCUACUACUUCGGUGUUGGGCUGAGCCCACAUGAGAGCAGCUCCAGCGUUGCUCUUUUGAGGGUGCUCCAAGGAGAGAGAAAAAUAUUCUCCGGCAGCUUCACGCUGGAUCAGAGGGUGCUAGGGAGGUGCUAGGGAGCAGCUGAUGAUGAGUUUUGCACCAGGCGCUACGCAUUCAAUAUAUUUUCUGAAGUAACGUGGUUGGAUGGAUAGUUGAGAUAGUGGGAAACAAAUGCAGAUGCGCUAAUGACCAUCAAUCCGAGGACUCCGCCACCCAUGCACUUAGGUAAAAAAAUUCCUCAACCACUUUCACCAAGCACUGAGAUGCCACUGCAACCGAAACAUAUGCCGUAGACUUUUGGAGCAUAGCCCAUGUACGAAGCUAGUGGAUAACUGUAAAGAUAACCUGCAUUGGAUGAGAUAAGGGUUUGUUUUCAAAUACCAUAGCAUUCUUGCAGAGCAACAAUAACAACAUAGUAGCAAUCACCCCAAGUAAAUAAUGCCCGUCAACCAAGUGCCAAAAAUAUUUUCUAGGCUAAGGGGCUUGAGAAAGACUUCAGGUGCAAACAUAUCCGUAUUAUCCUCACUGAAUGGUCAUAAGUGUUUCCCUUCGGUUGCCGACACAAGACAUCCGACGGGGAAGGGUGACUAACGCCACUACCUGGUAAACUAAGUAUGCUGGAACUUGUCCACUAAGGUUAUAGUCUAGCUAACUCAGCAUGGGUGCCCAUAUUUCUUAAUUAUGUUUCCGUUGGUUGAUAACAUACCCAUCGGCAUCCUAUCGUCAUGACUUAAUGAAUCCCAAUAUCUUCUAGACUAACGUUUACUUACAUGAGUAGGGUGUGUAUGCAUUUGUGGUUAACAGGUAUUUACUUUAAGGUCGGCUGGGCCGGCUUUCUCGAUGUGUCUAAUUAUGCUUAAGAAAAAGAACCACUAGUGGAAAACUCAGUUUUAGUCCCGGUUGCAGACACGCAUAGAUCUCAAAAAUCCAACCGGAACUAAUCAUUCAGACUGUAAUAAUAAAAUUUGUUUGAAAUCAAAUGCAUUGCAUUUAAAUUUUCAUGGGCAUUUAAACCUUUUUCAAAAUAAAUUAAUGAAUCAUAGGAGUUCGUUGUUGCAUUCACGAUGGUGCAUUAUUUUUGGUUGCUUGAAUUCAAAUUUGUGUUUGAAUUCAUUUGUUUGACUCUUUUAAACAAAUAGGAAACCCUUUUCUUUUCUUCCUUUCAGCCUAUUUCUUUCUUUGGGCCCACUUCCUUCUCUUUCGCCCAGCAGCAAAACUGAAUAUGCACUUUGAAGAUAAACAUGCGAACCAUCAAAGGGCAGCAGACAACUUAAAUACGCGACGGAGCAUUGUAAAUGGCAGAGUAGCCUUGCUGCCACGAUCCACUGAGAUCCAGCCCCACAUCGCACGAAUUCCUCCCUCCCCCCUCCACCCCCGACAACGGCUUCAGGCUCGGACCCGCUACGACGACCAAGGACAAAUGCGCUCAAGGCUUGGGAAGAAAUUAACUUCCAUUGUCGGAACACUUGUUAAGGAUUACAAGAGACCAUAUCGCAAGUUUAUCUUCUUAGGUAUGGUCCACAAUGGAAGAGAGACCUCCUAACUUGACCAAGCCGAUGUACACACUACCAUUUGGCACCAAUCAGGCCAAGUCAGAUAGGUGCCAGUGGAGUUCCAUAUUCCACUACGUCCGCCAUGUAACUCAUAAUCGACCACCAGGGAGGGACAUGUGUGGGAUGGAUCGAAGACAAGACAAUGGCCAACACACGCGUGGACAUACCGGCCACAGGGUACGAUUACGUGUUUGUUGGACCCAACACAUGAAAAUAGCUGCGUUGGCCAUGAAAAUGUUUCCUAUAGGUCACACCUAGUGGCAUCAAAACCAUUUAGUGCCACUAACUGGUUGUGAUGAUUGAUGUCACAAACGGUUCUUUGUGCGUAGCCAGUUUAUAGCUGUAAUUCCAUCGAACCUGUUCUAGUACCUUGAACAACUGGUUCUUGAUGAGUAGCCAGGAGUGACGUUCCAUUUGUAACUAUUUAUUCUCUAUUAGUCUAAUGUUGUCAUAAAUGAUUUGCGUUGUCAGUUUAUAUAUGCACUUUGGCAGCCUGGAUGUAUGUCUUUUGAAGUAUGUGUAACUUUCUCUAGAAUUGAGGAACUUUAAUUGACUAAGUGGUCUUGGAUUUACAGCAUCAACCACUAUAAUUAGCCAUUGCUCCAAUGGCCCAUUUUUUCCGUUAAUGCUAUAUGAUCCGACACCAAUAUGUGUACAGACAUAAGAGCAUCUGACGAGUAUCAUUUUACGGUGAAGACAUUGGAUCCCCACUCGCAGUAACACAUUGCAAAUGCGAAAAGCAGGACCGGGUCUCCCCCUGCAAUAAAUGCCAUUUUAACUGGUCCUAUAAACUGUUUUCUAGUGGUGUGAUGUAGUCUGUUGGAAUCAGCACCGUGGAACCAUCUGACAUUCAUACAUUAGCUUCACCAAACAAAUAUUCUUCUGUGCAUUAAAGCUUCAUACUUCAACAUGUACAAGUUCUCUAUGUAGGAUAUUUCAGCUAGAAGAUCUUCCCUUUCUUGAACUAGCCAUUUGAGCAUUAUUCAUUCUCAGGCCCAUGGUUCCAACGGCUUGCACGUUCUUGGAAUGUGUUAUCAUGGAAUGCUAGGGGUAUCGAUUCGUAGACAAGAUGGAAUGUCGUCAAGAGCAAAAUAUCUGAAUCCAACUGUGAUAUUGCCUGUUUACAAGACACCAAAAAGAAGUUUUUUGAUGCUAGAUAUAUUAGGAAUUUCUAUCCCCCACAGUUAGAUUCUUUCGAUUUCAUCCCAUCUAUUGGCAACUCAGGGGGAACUAUUAUAGUGUGGAAUGGUUCCAAAUUCAAGGGGGAACCUAUCUUUCAAAAUCUUUAUGCCCACUUUGUAGAUUUUCAGUGCAAGCUAUCAGGGGAACGUUGGAUCCUCACGAAUAUCUACGCCCCAUGUACUCCGGAGGGGAAGCUAUCCUUUAUUGACUGGUUCAAAAGGGUUGAAAUACCAGAGGAAAAAAAUUGGCUAAUAGUUGGGGACUUCAACCUUCUUAGGAAGCCGGAUGACAGAAACAAUCAGGGGGAAACAAUCCGGGAGGAAAUGUUCAGGAAAUGCUUCUCUUCAAUGAAGCUAUUAGCAGGCUUAGGCUCAUAGAAAUUCAGCUCAAAGGAUGCAAGUACACUUGGUCCAACAAACAGCAGAAUCCUCUUCUGGAGAGGCACGAUUGGUUCUUCAUAUCUAACCCUUGGACCAUCUCCUAUCCCAAUACUUAUGCCUCAUCACUGUCCAGUGACUCCUCAUAUCAUGUUCCUUGUGUAGUCUCGAUCUCUAAUACCAUUCCAAGGCCACAAGUUUUUAGAUUUGAGAAUUAUUGGCUAGAACAUGAUCGGUUCCCAACCAUUCUCCAACAAGGUUGGGCAACUCCACUUCUAGGCACAGAUAGGGCAAAGAAUAUCGGGGCCAAGUUCAAAAACCUGAGGAAGGUUUUCAGGAUCUAGAAAGCAUAGCUCCCCAGUCUGGCGAAAGCAAUCCAGAGCACCAAAGACACCAUUCAACUCCUUGACAUCAUUGAAGAACUUAGAGAUCUUACCCUGCAAGAACGGAACUUUAGAGAAGUCAUCACAUCACAUCUGAAUAGCUUGCUCCACCAACAAAAAGUCUAUUGGUAGCAAAGAAGCUCCAUCAAUUGGGUCAAAAUGGGGGAUGAAUGUACAAAAUUCUGCCAUGCAAGGGCCUCAGUCAGAAAUAGAAUCAAUUAUAUCACUUCUUUAGUUGAUGCCAAUGGACAAAUUGUCUCUAAACAUGAAGCUAAAGCCAGGAUUCUUUGGGAAGCUUAUAAGGAAAGGAUGGGGAGAUUUGAAUUUACUCACAUGUACUUUGAUCUUUCUACUAUCUUGACAUCAGAUCCAAAUUUGGAAUGGCUAGAAUCUCUCUUUAUGAAAGCAGAGAUCGACACAAUUACAGGGGAACUUCCAAGUAACAAGUCCCAAGGCCCAGAUGGCUUGAAUGGAGAGUUUCUCAAGAGAUGGUGGGACUUGAUAGCUGAAGAUUUUUAUAGACUGUCUGAAGGUUUUCAUGACAUAAGUGUGUGUGUUCAGAGCAUGAAUGCUUCAUACAUCACACGAAUCUCCCUCCUAAACUCAACCAUCAAGCUAAUAACUAAAAUUCUAGCAGAAAGGCUACAACAGGUAAUCUUAAGACUAGUGCAUAAAAAUCAGUAUGGUUUCAUAAAGUCUAGAUCCAUACAAGACUGUUUAGCAUGGGCUUUUGAAUAUCUUCACAUUUGUAAAGCCUCAAAGAGAGAAUUAAUCAUCAGCAAGCUGGACUUUGAAAAAAGCCUUUGAUAGGAUUGAGCACCAAGCCAUUUUGGAUAUCUUAAAACAUAAGUGCUUUGGGACAGAUGGAUUGGGUGGAUAAAGGACAUUCUCAACACUAGAACAUCUUCAAUACUCCUCAAUGGUGUGCCAGGGAAAGUCUUUCAUUGCAGAAGAGGUGUCAGACAGGGGGAUCCUCUAUCCGCACUUCUAUUUGUUCUAGCAGCGGACCUUUUUCAGUCAAUCCUAAAUAAAGCCAAAGAGGAAGGAAGCUUACACCUACCGAUCCCUGAAAGAGCUGGACCUGACUUCCCAGUUAUACAAUAUGCAGAUGACACCCUUCUGGUCAUGGAAGCAGAUCCUUCCCAGUUGUUGCAUCUCAAGCAUCUGCUUAAUCGGUUUGCGGAGUCAACUGGUCUUAAAGUAAACUACAACAAGACUGUUAUGGUACCUCUGAACACUUCUGAGGAUAAACUCCGACAACUUUCGUCAAUGUUCGAUUGCCAAGUCGGAAGCUUGCCACUCACCUACUUGGGGCUACCACUUGGUGCAACAAAGCCUAACAUUGAGGAAUUCCUUCCAUUAAUACAGAAGGUGGAGCGAAGAUUGGGAGGCAUCUCUAACAUGUUAUCUCAAGGGGGCAAACUCGAACAGGUAAAUUCAGUCUUUUCUUCCUCACCAAUGUUUCAUAUGGCAACCUUAAAGCUUCACAAGGGGGUUAUCACACAAUUAGAUAAAUAUAGGAAACACUAUCUCUGCAGAGGAUCUAAUUUGAAUUCUAGGAAACCCUCCAAGGCAGCUUGGCCUAUGGUGUGCCUACCAAAACAGCAAGGAGGACUUGGGGUUAUUAACCUGAACAGUCAAAAUGAUGCCCUUCUUCUCAAGUUCCUACACAAGUUCUUCACCAGAGCUGAUACUCCCUGGGUUCAUUUAUUCUAGGAUAACUAUUAUUCUAAUGGGAAACUGCCUGGACAGCACAAAAAGGGCUCAUUCUGGUGGAGAGAUGUAGUCAAGCUACUGGACAAAUACAAAGGAAUAGUGUCGGCAUGGGUAUCGGAUGGCUCUACUGUAUUGUUCUGCAUGGACACAUGGAUUGAGCAGGUCCUCUACCUGGAAUUCCCCCAGUUAUUCUCUUAUGCCAAAAACAAACUGGUAUCAUAUAAGGAGGCUACAAGCAGAAUAUCACUGUCUCAAAAUUUUCACCCACCACUCUCAGAAGAAGCUCAUCAGCAGUUGCUGAUUCUGCAGAAUAGAUUGAGGAAUACUGUGAGAGCUCAAGGCAGAGAUAAGUGGACUUACAUUUGGGGAAGGCCCCCGCUUUUCGGUAGCAAAAACUUAUAAAGUCAUAACGGGCACAAGAACCAUACAUCCAAUUCAUAGAUGGAUAUGGAAAUCUAAAUGCCAAAAGAAGCACAAGAUAUUUUUCUAGCUAUUAAUUAAAUUCAGACUGAGCACCAAAGACAUUCUAAGCAGAAAAACAAUGUAUUUGGAUACUUAUACUUGUGUGCUUUGCAUCCUCCAGGAAAAGGAGACAAUGCCGCACUUAUUCCUGAGAUGCAACUUCUCGAAAGCUUGUUGGAGCACUUCCUCCAGGCCACCCUUUCGGAUUUUUAACUCAAUCAAGGAUAAACUGAACGUUCCCUUCUACAUGGAGAUCAUCAUUUUAAUGGCCCGGAGCAUUUGGUCCGUGAGGAAUGACUGGACCUUUCAACAAUGUCCCCCCUCGGUACAGAGCUGCAAAAGGAAAUUCAUGGAAAAAAUGAAUACCGUCUGUCUACAUAGAGCGAAAUCUUCCCUAGCUCCUACCAUGAUGGAAUGGUUGUAAUCUUUUCUUUCUUUUUUCUUCCUUUGUUGUUGCCUUUUCUACCUUCUACUUCUGUUGUUUCUUGGACUCGCCUUUCAUUUAAUAUAUUUCAGUAGGAGCUUGCCCCUCCUGUUCCUUCAAAAAAAAACUUCGAGCACUUCUCCAUGGGCUUCAUCACCAUAGUUUCGAUUUGGGCAAUUUCAUUGCACCGAACCUUCCAGCUUGCAUUUUCUUAACUGAAUCUCGAGCAUGGGGCAAUAUUCUGGCAUCUACAACGGACCUGCCAUCAAGCAUUCCAAUGUAUAGAUCUAUCCUUUUUGUUUGCCUAAUAUUCGGAUGCAAUACUCCGCCGUGUGUAAAAAAAUCCAAGGCCAACGGACCAUACCGUGUUAACAAUUUUAGUGCCUAAUCCAAUACAAAAUUAGUCCCAGUUUGUACGGCUACUCAUUCAUUGCAGUCUUCAGACGAACUCUACGGUGACACAUUUUUGGAAUACUCUGGCAUGUGCAACUGACCUGCCAUCAAGCACUCCGAUGCAUGGUUCUAUCCUCUUUGGUUGCCUUAUAUUCUGUAAAAAAAAAUAUUCAAGGCCAACAGACCAUACCGUGUUAAAAAUUUUAGUGCCCAAUCCAAUACAAAAUCAGUUCCAGCACCUCCACAGUGAUUAUAUUGUAAUUCAAUCACCAAAAUCCGAAACUAUGGUCUAGUGAAGCUAUACUGUGUACGAAAUAUCAAUUCAUGGGAUUUGUCAACGAUUUUAUGAAGCUGUAUAUAUGAUACCUUCCACUACGGGAUUUGUGUACAAAAUAUUAAUUCAUGAGAUUUGUCCAUGAUUUUAGGAAGCUACAAUAUCUUCAACUACCGGAUUGCGUAUAUAAGAUAAUCUUCACCAGUUAUCACAGGUGGAAGCACGCGUUAAAUAAUAAAUGACUAAUGCUGAUUCAACUCUGAGAUGAAAAGGAUUCUGUUCUCAAGAAUCGAAAAAAAGGUAACGUGCUCAUAACAAUGUCGACUCUUCACAUCUGAGAACUACCUACCGUAUGUUAUUAAAACAUUUUUGCUGCCUAUAAAUUGGGCAUCAUUUCAGCAGGCCACCACGGCACCUGAGCUUGCCAUCUUUUCCUGCUCUAUCUCACUCAUUUGUCCCGUAGCUACUAGCUAAGCCACCAUAUCAUCCAUGGCUUCUGGUGCCUCCACCACGCUGAAGAUGGCCUCUAUCGCCGCUUGCAUCCUGCUGGUCCUGCUGUCCAAUGGCCACCCCACCGCGGCGGCCGUUGAUUGUAUUGCGGCUUGCAAAGAACCGUGCCAGGGUUUUUCUAACGGGCUCUGCGCGGGUGGAGCCACCAGCGGUUGUACGACUACGGCAGCAGCUACAGCAUGCCGCAAUUUGGCGUUCUCGCAGUGUGCGAACACCUGCUUCACAGUUUGCACUGCUGUGAGCAUCGCGCCUUGCACUUGAAGAUGCAUUCGUGUUCCUACUUCCACAUUAUUGUUACUGCAGAAUAAUAUGGGUCAGUGCACACAAGCAUACAUGAUGAGCCACUGUCGUUUUUCCAUUUUGUCAUUUACUUAUUGAAGGCAAUGUACGUUUUUCCAUUUGAUCAUUUACUUAUUGAAGGCAAUGUACGUGUCUAUCUCCUGUGUGGUUGAGCAUGUCAUCUUGGAAUUCUAUCCAAAGUUUUACAUACCACCUUGUAUUGUUGUGUGUGGGUAUCAAUAUAAUUUAUGAACUAUCUUCCUUUACCAUAGACAUAUCUAUGUUUAUUUGCAAGCGUUAGCUAAAUUUUUCCUUGAUUGUGUAUUAAUCCCAACUGAACAGAUCAACUUUCCACUGCAAGAAACUAUUUAAUCUGUGACGAAACAAAAUUGUCACAUAUCACUAAAAAAUCGUCAUAAAGCAAUGCCCGUGACGAUUUUAGAUAACGUCAUGUAUUGAGCGUCACAGAUUAAAUCGAUCGACGUUUUCUUCGAAAUCGUCACAGAUCAACACAAUCUAUGAUGUUUUUUACCUGUCACAAAACACCCUUAGGCCCAUGCAGCAGCCCAGGCCUAGUGUUUGUGAUGAAAAUAAACAUCACAGAUGGUUGCCACGUGGCUGGUGACGUGGUUGAUGACGUGGACGAUGACAUGGCUAGUGACGUCAUUGAUGACGUGGCCAGUGACGUCGAUGACAUGGAGAGGCUUCACCAUAGUAUUUUGUAUCGACGUUAGACCUAUCGUUUAUUUCCGCUGCUUCUGAACUCUGAACGCUACUUUUAUGCAUGUGAACUAUCGGCUUGUAAUAACUUAAUGUGGGACCUGUAAUAAUUUAUCUGGAUUGUUGUAAUCUUUGGACUCGUCUUCGUGCGAGUAUACUUUGUUUCGAUCCGAAACACGUGGUUGCAUCGGGUGAAACCCGACAGACUACCAGUUUAAUUCGAUUAAAGUGUCUAUUCACAUUUAAGGCAAUGUUGAAUAUACUUUAGCCGGGUUAACUUGGAUGGUUCUACCACACUAGCGCAUCCCUGAUUGGUCUGGCGCCUUCAGGUUGUCGAGCUGAAGGAGCUGUAGGGGCUCUAUAGCUACUGUCGUGUUGACUUCGGUGUAGUUUGUAUCAAAUCUUGCAUGUCGAGUAGUUUGUAGGUGUGUUCUGUCAGCGCUGCCAACUGUUCUGUGUAUCUGUUCUGGGGCAUGGCUCGAGUGAUGAGAUCAAUGGAAGCAAUGGUGGCGAGAGGAGUAUGGUGCUGCUGCGUCUGGACUGCUUUGAAGGCGUUGUCUAGAUUCAUAAUCGGGAGCCUCUCUGCCAGCCGGUGGCGACAAUCCGCUCUCGUUGCGUUCCUUGCUCGUCGUCGGGUUCUCUGAGCUUCGGUCUCCUUCCCGACAACAUUGGCAGAUAGUUCAUCUUGCGAGACAUCAUCUGGAUGAUGCUCGUGUCGAGGAUUCAUAUCUGCUUGCUCGACGUCAUCUGUAUCUGGCCCUGUGAUAAGGGUGAAGAGUUCCUUGUCUAGAGAGAGGCUUCCAGAACUUUGGGUGAUGACUUAUGUAGAGUCAUUGUCUUCAUGGAUAGAAGACAAAGGUGAUCCCUCCUAGUACAGAAGAAUGUCGAGAUGGGCCAUGAAGCGUGAUUCGUUGUCCUGGGCGAGGGCAGGUAGCCUCAUGCUAGGCCAGUAGACGAAUCUGCCUUGAGGGGUUGAGGUGAUCAUCAGGCCCUGCUGCGAACCUGUUAGUGGAGUCUCCUCGUUGGAAUCCAAAUAGUGAUCGUAGUUGUGGUCCUUAAUCGGACCUGAGUUAGAUUGCAACCCGGAUAAGGCUGCUUGAUAGGUGGAAGCUGCGUUACGGAGUCCGAAGGGGAGUUGGCUCGGAAUUUGACUUGAUUCGCACGAUGCAGAACCCGACGAGAUAACCUGCUGGGGUAUUACGUCAAUAGAUCAACCAAAAGAAUGCCCAAUAAUAUCUACCACCAAAGGACAACCCAAAAGCAUUAUCUACCUUCGGUGCCAGCUCAGUCAUCAACGAAGUUCUAUGGAGACCUUGUUUUCUUUUGCUUUGGAUUUGGAGAUAGCAUAGAACAAAAGCCUUGAACCUAAAUAAACAAAGAAAAAAAGUACUGCAGUGCUAAAAAUAAGAAAUACCUCGUAGAAAAAUACCAGUAAUGGGUUUAUGGGUUCCCCACUCAUCCUUGGGUAGCCACUUCUCUAGAGAGAUUCUUGUCUGUUCCGGUGUUGUAGUUUUCUGCGCAUGAUACAUAGCAACAUAAGGGCUAUUCCCCAACCUCAUAAUUGAUAGUAAUGUACAUCUUCUGGAAAGGACCUCUUUCUGUUGCAAGUGUGACUGCCACGCUCAUGCCAUUAAAGAAGUUAGCAGUUCGGUUAGGCAACUAAUGUUGCCCACAGGAGGAAAGUAAAGCAACCGUGGAGAGUGAAGAGGCAUCUUUCUAGCUCCAGCAUCACCAAGCACACCACACCAGGCAUCAGCUAAUCUGAUGACAUGGCAGGAAAUUUAAGAGGGGAGAGAAGGAACCAGUUUCAUCUAGAUGAAACUCUUCUCGCACAAAAACUAACUCUGAAUGUGUCGUGAAAUUAAAUGUACCCUAUGCCGCUUUUCAUGCCCUCUUAUUCGUGUUGCGUUUUCUAAGUUCAAUACACUUAGCAAGACUAUCGCAUUUGGUGACUGGCAGUCCACCUAGUGGUACCUAGAUGGUUGAUUUGUAAGCAGAAAGGAUCACAAGACCCUGAACUACUUGAUGGUAAUGCAAGGCACAACACAUAGAGAUUUAUACAGGCUCGGGCCACUAGUGUAGCGUAAUACCCUACGUCCUAUUUUGGGGGAUUGUAUUACGCCAUGUGCUCGGGUGUUGGUUGUUGUGUUGAGGGAUUGGCCGUCCUCCUAGAGGUACCCCUACGUACCCUUAUAUACUCCCCUAAUAACUCUUCUUAAUAGGAUGGAUUACCGAGUAAAUUAAUUAUGCAUGCACGCCUGCAGUAAUUGUCGCACCUAUAAGCCUUAUUUAGCGAGACUUCCUCGGGCAUCGAUGGUGUGCCAUUUCUAUAGUGAACGGUAAUGAAUGUGGACACUUUUGUGAGUGCUGGCACGAAAGGUUCAAUUUGUAUGAAUGAUCUUCUGCAGGUACACUAACCGCGCUUAUGUUACAUUAACAAAAGGUUAGAGAAUCGACUAGUUAUUAUAGGGAGAGCCAUAAAUUAUUGCCUUGCCACAAGCACUAACCCCGUAAGUCCAAGUAAUUGGCAGUUCUUUGAUUUGUGAGGACACAUAGGUCGUGCAUGCAUCAUGUUUGGAAAUUGGAACAACUUUCCUAUAGAUGAUAUGUUAACCUAAUGUCACUCUCACAAAAAUUCUUGCCAAAUCACCUAAGGAUUUUCUAGUUGUCUUGAACUGCAACUAACUACUAUCAGAAUUUUUUUUCUCCAAGCUCUUAAAUGGUCUUGGUUCCAGAAUUUAGUAAAUGAUAUGCUGUAAAAAUUUCAUAAAAUUAAUGAUAUGCUGUAAAAAUUUCAUAAAAUUUGGUCUAGUGAAACUCGAGUUAUGCUUCAAUCAGUAACCCACUGUUUGCAAACUGCCACUAAGGUUCACAGGUAGCUCUGAAUGUUCGCUUCUCUGUUGAACGUUACUCUGAAACCUAGAAAAAAAUGGUGGAACAGGGACAGCCAGUGCAGCCAAGAAUCCAUGAACUAAGGUCAAUAUCAAGAAGUAUGUCUGAAGCUAGUAGCAGUGGUUCAGGCUUCAAGUACUUCUUGCCAAGAUGGUGUCCUCCCGGGUUGACUCGUACCCAAAGGAGGAACUUGCAAAGGUUAAGGUUGCAGGAGAAGAGGGAACAGGAGCUGGAGAAGCGAAGGGAUGAGGCAUUCAACACGUAUAGACCCAUAGUCCCUCAAAACAAAAAGUGGAGAGUCAAGGCCGACACCCCAACUCCACCAGUCAAACUGGCAGAAGGACCGGUCGGACCUGGUGCGGUCGGCACAGUCGCUGGCGCGGUCAGGGCGGUCGCUGGCGCAGUCGGCGUGGUCGAUGACUCGGUCGGCGCGGUCGCCAGCACAGUCAGACUGGUCGAGGGGUCGGCGAGGAGCGGCGGCGGGGCGGAGCUUCAGCAGCGGAGGCGGCGGCGGAUGUGGAGGGGAGGUAGCGGAGGAGGAGGAAGAGGCGGAGGGGUUUGUGUCGUGCACGUUAAUCAGAGUACGAGCAUCUUUUUAUAGACACAAGAGAAAAAGAUUCAACGAACUUGGACACUGUCACAGGUGAUUGAUAGUCAUUAACCAGCCAUCAGUUAGCAGUAACCUCCAGCCGUUACUAGUCAUUAGGGUCAGCCUUUUAAACCAUGUCAGUUACUAGUCACUAAACACAGCGUCAGUUACUAGUCAUCAACUCGUGAUUAAAAACGUCAGCUCGGCUCGGCUCGGCUCGGCACGGCUUGGCUCGGCGAGCGAGCAUGGCACCCUUUCUCUCUUUCUCAACUUCUCAAUUAGUGCAGAGAUAGUGCACCUAUUUAAGUUGGUUAAGAUACUCCUUAACUACACAUUUGGAAUUAACCACGUUAACCACCUAGCGUUAAUUGUGGGCCUUGAUACUAAAUGAAAUAAAUGGGCCUAGCCCAAAUAUUCCAACAAUUCCCACCAACAUAGCGUUAAUUGUGGGCCUUGAUACUAAAUGAAAUAAAUGGGCCUAGCCCAAAUAUUCCAACAAUUCCCACCAAAUUUCUAGACACACGAGAAAUGCUUUCAUUUCCACUACUGCUUUUAUAUACCAGUUUUCGAUGGAGACUGUCAAGUUGAACAUCCACUUAGAGGAGAGGCUACACUUAUUCACAACUAAUCAAUGGACUAUGUCUUGAAUUGACAUUCUUGUGCAAACAAGCUUUACCAAAAUCCUUUUCUGGUACAGGCUGCUUAAAAGCAUCCCCGCGAUUUGGAGCGUAUAAGUCAUACUCCGACCUUUCAUGAGUAUCUAGAGAUUACCCAAUUCUCAUAGACUGUGUCCAGCAGUCGAACUCAUAUAGGUGCAAUCCUUGGACUGUGACCAGCAGUCGAACUCAUAUAGCUGCAAUCCUGACAAGAUGUAAGCAGGACCGAGAUGUAACAAUUUCGCUCAGUUCAAUAGCGCGGGCUACUUCAUUCUGCGGAUGAACAUUUGACAGCAACAGAAGAAUAUAAAGUGAUAAGCAAACGCAUUUACAUGGUUUUAGGGAAGGCAACACAGCUGCAGGAAUACGAUGGCUACCUCCUUGAGUUUCUUGUUAAUAAGAUCGGAUAUGAGAUUGGAGAUGAAACCACCAGCAGCCGACAGCAACUGCACAACUCGAGGGGCGACAGCUCUUGGACGGUUACCCCAGUAGGCUGAUAUGAUUUCUGGGCUAUACACAAGUGGCAGCCCCUCCCUCAUUGUUGUCCGCAGUUUCUACCUUGAACCAAGGAAGAAAAACAACAGAAUUCAGUAACAACCUACUGUGUACUAAUUUUCUGCUGGAAGUGAUUCUCUUUUGUGAUUGGGUAAAGACAAGAGCACUCUGUGUGAGAGGUUAAUGGAAGUGGAUCAAAGGGGUUGCAGUUCGGACCUCGACGAGGCGAAGGCGGACAUUGUCGUCGGCGAACUGCUCGUCCCGGAGGUUCUGGACGCGGAGGCCACGCAUGAGCGUGGCAAGCUGCUCGUCCUGCUCCAUCUGCUUGCGCACGCGCUGGAUCUCCUUGGACACCCCUCCGAACCUCUGCGCCAUUCACAGGCAAGCAAACAUGUCAGCGAGGUCACAGCGACAACAGUGAAGGGGAAAAGCAGCAACGUUGGAGUGGCUCGAACUUACGGUGUUGGAGAGAUCAUUAUGGGUCCUGGGGCGAGAGGAGGAGGAGGAGGAGGUGGACGGUUUCGGCUCCGUGGCGACGGCGCGGACGCAGGGGAGCUACUGUCCUCGGCGGCGGCGGCGGCGACCGGGGAGCGCCGGGAGGUGCGCGACGCGGCCGAAACCGCCGUAGUGCAGGAGAUGCGGCGCCGCCGCCGCGGCCUCCAUGCUCAGCCGCGCGGAAGGCUCCGAGAACCUGGCCGCCGCGUCUCUCGUGGGAUGGUGUGAACCGAAGCCGGCGUGGCAGGCAUGGAGGGGGUGGGCGGUGGAUGCAACCAAAGAAGGUAACAAAGUGCGAAGUGGUGGUUGGGGAAGAAGAAGAAUUGGGGCCGGUCGGUCAAUCGGUGGUGGGAGCGGACAGCGGAGGCAGCAGUGCACUCAGGCCUCAGCGCCGUGGGGUGGGGCGGCUGGCUGGCGCGCGGCCACGAUGGCCUGCGCUUGUGGUUGGCGCGCGCGCUCCCUUCCCGAGGCCCGCGUGCGCAUGGGCGGCGCACAGAGGCCGCGCCGGACAAAGACCCCACCGUGGGCUCACGCUUGCGAUGUGUCCGCGUCCCAUUCGGACGUUCAGAUCUCCAACCACAAGCUACCAGCUGCAUUGUCUGUUGAUCGAUAGCAUUCGCCGAGCCAAUUCAACAACAGCUGACGAUAGCUGCAGGAUCAAACCCAGUUGUGGGGUUGGAACUGUUCCAGAUGCAAAUCUGUCGAGCCCGUGAUGCCGAGCAAAUUUUGUUUCCUGGGUGAACAGUUUGCCUGAUAGCAGAUGGCAGGCUCUACGGUGAGUUUGCUUUUGUCGCCAUCACCGCUCAAGAGUGGUGGACACUUUCGUAAAAAAUAAAAAUAAAGAGUGGUGGACACAAAAAUUCAGUCUCACAACUAAAAUGGAUAGAAUGUGAACCAUUUGCUAGCGCCUCCUAACACGCCUUAAUAAAACUAUAAAAUGUUGUAAUAUUAUACUAUUAUACAUGAGCAGGGGAAAGGUAACCUUUUUUAUUUUUUACAAAUAAAAUUGAUACUGAUACAUGCUGCUUAACACACAACAACAUGGAAAAUAACUUGGUAAACUUUCACUUCUACAACAACACAGUGCUACAAGUAAAUUUACAGACAUCGGAGAGACAGACACCGCAGCUUCUCUCGCGCACUCGAGGAUGCCGGAUGCGCCCGUACGUCGAGGUCCGAGUCCCGGGGGAGGAACUCGUCGAGCAGGCUGGCCACGACGUCGUCAUCGUCAGGUUCCUCCUGUUCUUGGAACCGCUGGUGGUGCUGGUACUGGGGCGGAACCAACCAGAUGAGGGUGUCGCGUCGGCCAUGGUGCUGUUGCAGUGUAGUGCAUCCGGGAGACGUGUUUAACGAGCUGCUACUGUUGCUAGCGUCACUACGGGAAAGCUAAAAAUUGCCAAGCGUAUUUUUUUUCGAGUGUUUUUUUUCGAGCACUCGGCAAACAAGCUCUUUGCCGAGUGCCAAGCCAAAAACAUUCGGCAAAGAAAAAACACUCGGCAAAUCGGGACUUUGCCGAGUAUCAAAUAAAAAACACUCGGCAAACCACAGUGUUUUUUUUUUGACACUCGGCAAAAAAAAAAUUCUCUUUUCACCUUGAAAUUUUUUCUACUCCCCACAUACAACAUGUGGUACUCCAUGUUAAAAUUUGGUAUAUUUUUGAAUUUAUUUGCUAUAUUUAUUUAAUUAAUUGCAUUUCAAGGGAAUUUUUGGUAUAAGUCAAAUUUGAAUUGCAAGUGAUUCAAAUUAUGGAACAAAAUGAGUAGAAAAAUGAUAUUCAUAUUAUUUGGCCCAAUUUGAGACCUGACCCAUGAAAUAAAAAGAAAUUUUGAACAUCUUGUUCAGGAAACACGACCAUGAACGUGUGGCAGUAGUAUUUUUAAAUUGUAAAAAAAACAAGCAAAGUCUGAAAAUCAUGAGAUUUGUCAUGAUGUGAUGAUAUAAUACGUGGAGGCUGUGGAAAAAAAUUGAGAAGGUUUUGCACAUUUCAUCAUGUACGAUGAUUACAAACCGAAGCAUUUCAGAAGAAGAAUAGUAACUUUGAGAAGGAUUCGAUAAAAUUUAGAGUCGAAGUGACGAUCGAGUUCGGUUUGACUACAAAACUUUUUGUAUAGUUAGUAGAGAACACAUAUUGUUUCGUGUGAAAAUUUGGUAUUUUUUUGAAACUGUUAGAUAUUUUUUAAUUUUUUUAAAAAAAACUUUGCCGAGUGUCCUAGGGUGAACACUUGGCAAAGAAACCCUUUACCGAGUGUCCACACUGGACACUCGGCGACGUUUUUUUCCCUGUACCGGCCGGGCCCGCCUCCUCUCACCGCCCCCGCCUACCCCCCCUCGAGACACCCCCUGCCCCCCACCCCCCACCCCGCCCCUCCCCCCACCCGCGCCUCCCCUUCACGCCGCCCCCCGGCCUCCCCUCACGCCGCCCCCCUCCUCCCCUCACGCCGCCCCCCCUCCUCCUCCCCUCCCGCCGCCCCUUCCCUCCCGCCGGACGCCGCCUCCCCUCCCUCUCCUCCGGCGGGCGGCGCCCCUCCCCUCCCUCUCCGGCGGGCGGCGCCCCCUCCCGGCCCCGAUCCCCACCGGUAGAUCUGGCGGCCGGGGCGGCCUCCUCCCUCCCUCCCUCCGCCGCCGGUCAGAUCCGGGCGGCUCGAGGGGAGGGGGCUCCGGUGGGGGCCAGAUCCGGGCGGCGGUCGCGGAUCGAGGGGAGGGGGCCUGGCGGCGGCGCGCCCCUGCCCCUCCCCUACCCCUCUCCGGCGGAUCCGGCGGCGCCGACCCUCCCCUCACCGGAUCCGGCGGCGCCGGCCCUUCUCUCACCGGAUCCGCAAGCCUGCUACUCCCAUAAGACCGUGGCUGCUGCUGCGGCCGUGGGCCUCGGCGGCUGGAGCGCGUCGGCGGCGUUGACGAGGCAGGACAGUUCGUCCACUUCCACCACCGCCGGCGACGGGUGCAAGCUGACGGGUUACAGGUACCCCUACUACUCCGAGCUGGGUUCGGUCGCCGACGGCGUCAUGAUGGUCGACGCGGACAACUUUUGGAAUGUCGUCGACAACUUCUGGGUGCGGGCGGAGCUAGCGGUGGUGGCGGCCGGUGGUGGCGGAGCUGGCGGCUGGUGGUGGCGGCGGCAGCGUAACAGGAUUUUUUUUUAUGUUUUUCAAAAAUUGAAUGCCGAGUGUUUUCUGGCCACUCGGCAACGACUUUGCCGAGUGCGCGACACAAAACACUCGGCAAAUCCAGGUUUGCCGACUCGAAAUUUGCCGUGUGCCAUUUGCCGAGUGUUACACUUAGCAAACAGUUCGCCGAGUGUAUUUUGCCCUUCGCCGAGUGCCCCUGGCACUCUGGUAAUUUUCCUGUGUCCCGUAGUGCGUUGAGUUUGGUUUCCGAAUCGGCAACUUAAUUUGACACACACGACUGCUCGUGCUUGUAAUAAAAUCGCAACGGAAGUGUUACGAAUCCGACACACGACAACAUGCGAUGCGAUGCGAUGCGCGAAUCCGGGUUAAUUAUUUUCUUCUCGAGUCCGAUAAGCGCGGGAUUCAUAUUUUUAAGUGGGCCGUGUAACCUCGAGCCCAGUAAUAAUGGAUGGGCUAACCAGCCAGGCCUUGAGUGGAUUGUAGCAGUCAGUGUACUGGGCUGGGCUAGACUGGUGGUGACAGGCUGCCUGCCAGCAGUGUAUCUAUAGAGCCGGCCCAAAGGUACAAAUGACUCAAGCGAAUUUAACGGGCCUGAAAAAAAAUGCAGAGGAUCAAAGCUUAUUCCGAUCGAGUUGAAGUUGCAACCAGCCCGGUAUGCCUGUAUGACUACAGGAUAUACGGUCUAUAUAGCAGGAUCGGAAUUCAGAGCAGACUGCACAAGUGCAGAUACUGGUAUAUACGCUCGGGACAACUUCCUCGGCUGUUGCAAUAAUGGAUCAGUUAUCAUGCUUGCUUACUCGUCACUUGGCAUGCUAGGUGCUAAUAGCUCACAGGUUGACACCUGAGGUGCUGCUAGGUCGGAGCCUGACAUCUUCUCUUUCUGAACACCGUCACACCCGCCACUUGCUGGAUUAGUUCCAUUUUCCAGUUCGAUGCCACUACGCUUUGUAUGGUCACCGUCACCGUCAACAAUCGAUGGAAACAAGUUAAACCGCGUCGUCCUGCCUAGCUAGCUAAGAGUUGAAAAGCUGAAAGCCCGAAUUUUUUUUUUUACCUUCGGAAAUUCACCCGGGCUCUCAAAUCUGGAUGAAAACCAGACGCACUUGUCGAAAAACACGUACGGCCGGAGUGCUACACGCAGACGCCUAGCGCAUGUUUAUAUCCGGCCGUAUGUAUACAUGUAUAUGGCAUGCAUGUACUUUGCGGCGCUAGGUGUGGUACGGCAUCCGGAUGUGCACACAUGCCGGCCACUGCUUGGCAUGGCCGGCCACUCAGUUCUGACCUGCAUGCCACUACAUUCACGUUGACCAUCAUGCAUGUUUAUCCUAACGCCCUAGCUACUGAUCUAUGCUACGUACCCAAUGCAACCACCACUGACCAAAUUAACUGAAUUUUCCGGUCCCCUGCAAAGACAGGCAUGAUCUACGAGCACUACAGUGUGCAAGAUCGAUCUCGAUCUCUGUCUGUCUGUCCGUGUGCACGAGGGCCGGUUGGCCGGGAUCGGAUAGUAGAUGAUUGUGCGGGCAAAAAGUGGUCACACCAAUAGCAACUUUGCAAGUGGCCGGCCUCUUUGCUUGUUCACAUUGACGGCCUGCCGGAAAAGAAGCAACUGCAACAAAGUGCCCAUCGUUUGAUCUAUAGCAUAUGUACUACAUACUAUACAAACAUCUAGUGCAAUAAUUAAGCUGGCAUGCUGCUUUAACCAAUAAAACCCCAACCCUGCGCACUAUAGCCUGAGCUGCUGCCCCAACCCUGCGCACUCUAGCCUGAGCUGCUGCCUCUAAACUAGUAUCCCUCCGUCCCAAAUUAAUAUUCGUUUUGAGUUUUCUAGAUAUAUGAUUUUUGCUAUGUAUCUAGACAUAGCAUAUAUCUAGAUGCAUAGCAAAAUUAUGAAUGUAGAAAAGCCAAAACGAAUAGUAAUUUAGGAUGGAGGGAGUGCUAGAAUUAAACAGUAGUACAGGGGACUGAUGAGGUCACUAGCUGAGCAGCUAGCUAGUAGCACUACUGAUGGUCACUCACUGUGCGCUUAGCUUGAUCAGAUAAUGGAGUGGGCACUAUUGGCCAUUGGCCACUCGACCUGCACAAACCAUAGGCAUGCAUUUCCAGCUAGGAUGAUUUCAAGUAAACAAGUGAUGGCACUACAACUCCCCUUUAUCAGUAGCAGUGUAGGUUGGUACUGAAGCAAGUAGGCCGUCUGGAAAUGGAACAUGUCCACUCAGCUGGCAACCUUGCAAAGUGCUGGCACAUGGUGUUUCACUUUCAUAUAUACUAUCACUUUGACUACUACUCAUAGCUCGAGGGCUUUCACAGAUACCACGGCGCAGUAUCUUCCUUUGUGAACAAAAAAAAGGUUGAGAAAAGCUUAAUCAGCUUGAUACUAUGCAGUUUGCAAUCCAGUAGUACUACUCCUUGUGUGAAAAACAAAAUGUGAAUGAUUGCCAUGGCUGUCAUGUGGGGACUGACGACUGAUCUGGUCUGAGGAGCAUCUUUGCAUGUCUCUCUUUGCCGCAGCAGUCAAGAGCCUUAGGCAUAAGAAAAUGAUGAGCUGUAGCGGCACGGUGCCAUGGUGUUGACUUUUUAUGCUCCGACCAUCAUGUGGAAUCUCGGGGAUAAUUUAGUACUGUAGAGUGUUGAGUAGCCACUGUAGCUUGAUCAACCACGAUGUUUGCUUUCUUGGGCUAGUAAUAACAAAAUGGUUAUUUUCGUGGAAGAAGAUCAGGGACAGGUAGAGAGAGGGAGAAACUGUUUACAAGAAGGAGAUCAUCAGAGAAUCUGACAGGGGUCGCAGUCUCACAGACCCGGAGGCGGGACAGGGAGACAGACAUUCAGGCGCACCCACCAUAAAACAAAUUAACACAAGUGUGCGUAGUAUACUAGGGUAAUUACCAUUUAAUUAAGAAGAAAACCACGGUCAUGAAUCUGCUCAUAACUUGAACUCCAUCUUUUUUUUUUACAAGGAGAACUACCGAUUAUAUUAAAAAUAACAUUAAAAAUAACGAGGAGAACUACUGAUUAUAUUAAAAAGAGAAUGAAGUCAAGACCGGAUGAAACAAACAAAAAUGAAAAAAAAAACACUACAAACACCGACAGGUUAGAUUGGGUCAUCAACAUAUACCGCACCACGCCAUCGCACUUAACUCAACUUAACAACACAUCGACCAGUUAGAUUGGGAUAUCAACGUGACCGUACCACUCCACUCGACAACGGCAGCUGAACCGAAACCUAAAUGCGGCCAUCACCAACAUUCCCGCUUUUAUGUAGUGGCCGAAACCUGUGUUAACAGGGACCGAGAGAAACAGACCGCACCACACUGAGAAGGCCAUCGUCAUGCGGGAUCCUUCGCCAUAAUACCGCUGCAACAUCACACCCCACCCGUCAGAGUGAUACCACCAGAUUCGGACCUCUUUCAUGUUGCUUCACAAACACGCGGGGGCCUCGUCGCAUCCGCCGUUGGCACCUCGCUCUUGUCACCUCGAAGACACACCGCGCGCAGGGGUCUCGUCACGCCCACCACAGUACUCCAUGUCACGGAUCCGUUUCUUUUGUCGCCAUCAAAAUGGCGAGCAAUGUUGCCGAUCUCCAUCAAACAGCCAAGCUGCCGCCGCAAGUCGACUUUGCCUCGUUGCUCCACCCACGCACAUGCCUCCACCGUUGUGUCAGCAAGUCAAAGUAGUUGCUUGCGCUGUCUUCCGACGAUGUAUCGCACCGGAGUAGCCCAGCAAAUCUGAGAAACCCGACACAGUCCGCUGCAAGCCUAGUCGUCUCAUGAUAUCGUCCUUCAAUGUAGUCCCACACCGCACUGACAGUUGCUAAGCAACACCAGCCGCCGCGAUCUGCUGCAAGCAGCUCACCCGAUAAAGAAAGCAACGACCCCUGGCCGCCAUCAGAACUGCGAUCCCCUCAACGUGAGCUUAGCAACCCUCGUCAAGCUUUCCAUCCUACACAUGCCACCUUGCUGAGCCGCAAGCCCGUCACGGCGAGGCCGCUGCCACCACGAUCGCGUCACCAACAAUGGCACAAGUUGAGUUGAGCCUCUAGAGAUGACGCUAGUGGUGCCGCCAUCGCUCAUUCAGAAACUAGACAGAGUUUUCACCCAGAGAUCCCGUGCAGCAGGGAUAGAUCUCCAAGGUGACACCCCAACAGGGAAAAUGACGCCCUAGGGCGCCGUUGCCAUCACCACCAGCAAGAUACCGGCAAAGGCUUUCACCCGAAGCAUCCCACCCUUAACUUGCACGGACACAACCCAGCACUCCCUAAACGACAAGCAUGGAAACCCACCCGGGGCGGCGCCACCCCCGCCGUGCCUCCUUGCGCCGCGCGUAGACCACCUUCGACUGCGCCACCACCUGGCCAGCCUCCUUCCAGCCACACCGCCGCCGCCAGCAACCACCCAUCGCGUCGCUCUCCACAGUGGCCUCGUCGCCCCUCGCCAGGCCACGCCCACGCCGACCGUCACCUCCCACACUCACCAUCCUCAACUGCCCCUUCUCCUCCGUUGCCGGGUCGGCCACAGGACCCCUUGGCUUGCUCCUCCGCCGCCGCAGGUGCGCCGCCGUCAGGACCCCUGCUCCCCUGCUUCUCGCGCCGCCGCAUGGGCUGGCCAACGCACGCCUACUCCUCGCGUCGCCGCUGAGCUUGGUCGACACGCCCCCUCCCCUACCCCAUGCACCGUCGUGCGGGGCCAACCGGAGGUCCCCUGCUCCUCACGCCUUGGCCAAUGCCUCCACCGCCUCGCGCAUGCAUAGGUUGCAGAGCCACCGGAUCCGGCCGACGCCAUGCUGGAUCUGUGGCCCCUCAUGCUCCGCCACCGCGGGAUGCCGCCCACGCUAGCAAGCCCCCUCAGGCUGCUCUGGCGGCCGCGCCAACCCAAAUCCACCGGAGGAAGGGGAAGAGGCCCUGCCGCCACCCUCAUCGUGAGCCGCAAGGGCUUCCGGCAGCCCGCUCGGUGGCGGCUCGGCGAGAGGGGGCGGCAGCUAGGGUUUCAGUAACCGCGCGAGUCGGGGGCGACGCAGUUGGCUAGCCCUUGCUAGGAUGGCCCCCUUUCCAGUAACUUGAACUCCAUCGCACCAACACAAACCAAAUAAGUAGAGCUAGGCAGUAGGCACUCCUACAUUUGUUAGAAGCCACUCGCAUGGCAUGGCAGUAUGGCACACAUGAAUAAACCUGAUCAGCUUUACAAUCUCAUACUGCGCCGAUUACAAUCAAAAGCCUUGAAGAAAAUAGUGGUAACCCAUGCAUGUAUUAUAGACGACUAAGAGAUGUACAAACGAGGUGACGGAUCGGACACACGCGUAUACUAAUCCUAGAGAUGGAUCACGGAUACUAAUUAGUGGCAGAACUUAUAAUUAACCUAGCAGAAGGUAGAUGUACUAGCUAGAUGAGAUUCCCUGUGUCAACUUUGCAGCAUGUACUCGUCAUCAGAGACUCAAGUCCCAACCAACCGAGAUGAGGAUCUGCAGCUGCCGGUCCUCACCCUCACACGUACGUCACACGGGUUCACGGCUUGCCCUUGUGCUGGGUGUAGAUGUAGUCGAGGUGCGCGUCCCGGAGCAGCCGCCUCUGCAUGCAGUCAUCGUCGUUCCCCUCCUCGCACGCCGGCUCCUCCGCCUCCUCCUCUGCUCCCAUCACCUCAGCCUCAGCGACCGAUGAGAGCUCAUCGCCACUACCAGCGGCGCCUUUCUGAAUCACCGGCUCAUCAUCUGCAGCCACCUUGGCUCCAUUCUCUGCAAAAGAGGUUCACAAACAUUAAUUAGAGCAACUCUGAGCAGGAUCGGUCAGCAAAGAGGUUCAGAAACAUUAGAGCAACGCACCUUGGUUAACCAGAGGAGGAACAGAAACAGGCAGGGGGCGAGCCGCUGCCGCGCCGUGGAAGAAGAUGAGGAGGAGGAGCAGGGCAAGAGCCGCGAGCGGCGAAGUGAUACGGCAGCUGCAACGCCUCAUCUCUGCCGUGGCUCCAACAGUUGAAACUGCCUGCUUGGAUAGAGCGCUAGCUGGUUGGCUGCUGGUGGAUUUGGCCUCUGGGUGAUGGUGGUGGGCUGGUGGCGCCGAGCUCUAUUUAUAAUGCGAAAGCGGCGAGCGAGGAGCCGAGGAGACGGGAGGCAUCUUGCAAAUCGCAACGCCGGCACAGGGCACAUCUUCAAGUCGCACGCGCACUCGAGUCGGCAACACGUUUGUCCAUAACACGUAUUACUAGUAGAUGUAGAGAUUUGGCCGGAUGUGUGGUUCCAACCUUCCACUACCACAGUGUGCCAAACAAAAUAGUGCCUAAAAAAUAGCUUCCAUACCAGCGCUUCUUGCAGAGAUAAAAAAUUGACAUUAAUUUGAAAGAGACCAAAUAACUUCCUUUCCUUAGGGUUAAGUUGAGAAUAAAAGGAUGAGUAGGCUACACUUUCGUUUCUCAAUUGGCUAGAAUUGUCACGCCAACAAGAGCAAAUGAAAAUAGGGUAGGAAAAAAAUUACUAGAAGUACUUUGAAUAUGGGACUGAGAAGUACUGUUGUACACCUUCAAACGCAAAGUAAUGGUCCUGUUUGGAUAUACUUCUCCUAGUCACGCUUGGAUUAUAAUCUAAGCGAAUAUUUUCUCGCUUCUCACUUUUCGCUUAUCGUAGUUCAAAUCUCUGAAGCGACUUACCACAUAAGCGAGAAUCGGUGAAAAUAAGCAAAAUGUUUGGCGGGAUUCUCGCUUAUUUCCGCCGAUAAGCCGCUUAUAAGCGGAAACAAACGGACCUAUCUUUUGCUCUAACUUUUUAGCAACGCGGAGAAAAAGGAGGACGAAACAGCAGGCAAAAAUGGUGAAAGACCUAGAAGUCAAAUGUUUGCACAUGGUGUGUUAGUCUGAUUCUAGAAAUUCCAGAACAGAAACGCUUACGCACAGCUGCCGUCUUAUCGAUGGAUGCCAGCAUUUGACGCGGAGAAGAUGGGCUUGAAAAGCCAAGAGUUUUUCCUCUUCGCUCUCUCCCUUCAUCACUGCAUGAAUGCAGGAAAAACCGCAUCAUCCCUUUGCUCGUUUUUUGCAUCAAAGAAUAUUCUUGCUUAGUGUGCGUGUCACUUUUUACAUUUUUUUGUGAACCAAUCGGAAACGAGUAGAGCUUGUGGUGCUGAUCAGAAUAUGGAACUGGUGAGUACUGCUGUACACCUUCAAACGCAAAGAACAUCCUUGCUUUAACUUUUGUAGCAACUCAGAAAAAGGAGGAUAAGGCAGUAAGAAAGAAUGGCGAAAUACAUCUGGUUAGAAGAGAACUAAACUCCUCAUCCACUAGAGAUUCCAGAAACGCUUACGUCUCAUAGAUAGAUGCAGGCAUGGCAGCACAUCAGAGGCGGAGGAGGUGAGGAGGAGGAGCUUGAAAAGGCAGGAAGUUUUGGACCUUUUUCCGAACUUGGAGCCACUCAAGUCGCGUAAAGCCUGAUGCGUGGUGUGCCGUGUGCGAGAGCAAGUUCGCCUUCGCCCGCGUCGACCCUGCCCUUUUAGUGUCAACAGAAACCCAUGGCCUCUCGCAUUGCUAUCAAGAGACGUGCAGCAUGUAGUCUUGCAGAAGUGCAGAAACUCGGGAAGCGUUUUUCCGCCCUCUGUUCGUUUGCAAGGGAGGAGGCAGGCGAUGAGCAGAUUCAGGAACUGCAAGCGUAAUCGCUGCUGCGAUGCUGAGCUGAAUCCGCCGAGUGUUGACAUCGAUCGUAUACUAUUCUAGUGCAUGCAUGUUGCGUGGACCCCCCAUGCACCAUUGACCACCAUGUGUGUCCUGAGGGCCCAGAGAGGGGGUACGUCCCACUCUCACAUGCACAGCAAACCCAUGCCACGUAUAGCAAAGUCUUUUGGCACUGUCCACUCAGCUGGGCACUAGACUAGCUACUGGCAGGGCCGCCAUGCUGUGUCCUGCUGCUGCAUCUGCGGACUGCGCUCUACCUCCCCCCACUCGCUUGGGGCCAUCGGCCACCAUUUCCCUGCAACAUCAUCCAUCAUUUCCUGGAUCGGCGCCACUUUCUGGCUCCAGUCUCCUCGAUCUCGUGCGUGCUCACUGCUCGGCGAUCGGCGGUGCCCACCACCCACGGUGGGGCGACGAGCUAGAGACCGAGACGAGAGAGAGGAAGAAGUUGCGUGCAUCACUGCAUCAGCACUCGCGCGUGUGCGUUCCGGCCGUUCAUGCAUGUUCGUGCUCGUCAUUGUCGUCGUCUCCCAGCCAGCCAGACUGGGAAGUCAGUGCAUGCGGUCGCCUGCUGCUGCUGCUGGUGGUCUUACUGUGCUGGCGCGGCGCGUGAUCGAGGACGGACGGUGCGCUCGGCUGCUUGCCCGGUCUUUUCGCUCACCGUCGUCGUCUCGAUCGUCUUUUCGGGCCGCUGCUCGUACGAGUCAACGGCUCCUGGAUCGAUACGUUCCAUCCGGCCUCUGUAGCUUUCUGCAGGAUUCCACAUGUGCAUACAGCUAGCUGAUGAGAGCUAGCUGAGCGAGUCCGGGACGCUGGACGCGGACGUGGGUGCGCUGAGAGACAGCCGCGGCGCCCCACACGACGAGAUCGAUCUCAUCAUCAUCUUCAUUUCAUCUUGUUGCCGAAUCCUCGCACGGUCACGCCGGAGCUGACGCGCGUAUUUUGGUGGAAAUUAAAGGGGACCAAGUCCAAUUCCUCCGGCUAUCUAUACCCCGCGAAAGAACUUCUUACCCUAUUCUUUCCUACUGCUACGGUGGUUUGCCGGCGGCGGCCGCACCCUUAGGCUGGGGUGCUCAGAUCCGACACCGGCAGGUCCGGAUCCGGCAUCGUCCAUGACGUUUAGGGCUUUCCCUGGUUGAUCCAUGGGGCACUAGCGGAGUCGGAUGUUCAGAUUCGCAGCGGUGUGGCUCGUGGCGGUGAUGGCCCGCUACGGGGCGGCAGCACCGCGUCGGCGACGACCGAAGGCGGCGGGCCACCCACACUUGGAGCCUACCUCUCCUGGGCUAAGCUCGGGGAGGGCAUCUUAGA
rnacentral:lncRNA from 1 species